UCUCCUGUGUUGAAAGAGCUUCUAAUGUUCUUGCAGUCAGGGGCAAAAAAAAACUCACAAAAAUAUGAGCCCAGUGACCAUGAUCCGCUUGCAGCAAAUCUGGCUGAUUCGCUCUCUAUUGGGAAUAUUCCUCUUGGCAUGUUGGUUAUCCCUUUGCACUGAACUGCAUUAUUGAAUCGAAAGGUAGCUAUAUCAUGGGAGUGUAAAAUUUCAUAUUUAUUCACAGGGUUGUGGAUUAUUGUUCUUUAUUGUGAUUUAGAAAGUUUAAUUUUAGUGACAUUUGGUUUUAAUGAGUUCGACAAUAACCCGCAUAUGCUGUUAAUCAGAAGUUAUAUUACACAGUUUCAUCUUCGCUAUUGUCGCGGCAUAGUGUGACAGAAGUUACUCCAGUUGUAUGUAUGUAUCAUCCUUUUCCUACUCAAGUAUCGAGUGGCUAAUAUGUUGCUCUCACCUACAUCUUCUCUUGCAGGCACCUUUUUUUUAGCUGCAAUAUUCAUUUGGAUCUCUCAGCAACAUAUCUUUUCUACUUAAUACUCUACAGGCAUAAUGUUACUGACUAGUUUCCAGUCUAUCUGAAUUUUGUAUAGCUUUUAGAGUGCCUAUUCUCAUGAGCUAAUUCUGAUAUUUUUUGUAGAGCUUCCAUAUUAUCAUUAGGAAGAAUAAGGCUGUCAAGUAUAGCUUUUAGAGUGCCUAUUCUCAUUAGGAAGCAUUAGCUUUGUCUCAGAAGUUCUCUGUAAUGAUCAGCUAUUAGCUAUCAUCGAUGUUUCCAGAGAAUUGUUUCCAAUUGUCUGUCAUCUCAAAUUCUCAAUUGUAUUUAUGAGCAGAUAAAACAUCUACUGUAACACCUGCUGGUAUGAACUACUUGGCUAUAUUUACGUAACUUGUACGUUUAUGUUUUGUACUAUCUGAUGCAAGUCAAUUGUCCUGAGCAAACAUUGUGCCUUGCUUUUGGUACAAAUUGUGCUUUUAUGUUUUAUAGUGAAAUUGCGGUUAUACUUGGCAACAACUACACUUUAUUUUUGAUAUAUAUUUAAUCAGUAUGCUCUAUACAUAUUUAUUCUGUGCGGUUACUCUGUACUAAACAUAUCUCUUUAACCAGAAGUUUCGUUGUAUUGUUGAAUAUGUGCGGUAAACCAUGCCUCCUGCUAACCGACCAUUAUCUGUUUGACCACAUAGUUGGAACCGGCACCCCGCGCCAAGGCGUGCUCCUGAACUAGUAUGGUAGAAUGGCAUCGAUGCAGAUGGACCGACAGGGACCGCAAUGAAAAAAUGGACAACAAGGAGAGAUGGUUGCCCGCUAGGACUUCUCGCCAGCGAGGCGCUAGACUGCCCGCACAGAAUGGAGGGGCAGAAGCUUGUGGAUGGUGCAUAUGGCAGACCGGCGGCUUUUGCUUGGGGGCGCGAUGGUGGUCAGUCGGUGACCUGAGAGCACCGGCGCCCUUUAAUUGCGACGGCGACACUUCUCAAGAUCGUGCGAGGGCCAUCCAUGGCGCAUGCUGGUGGUGCAGGGCGCGUCGACGGUGGAGAUGGCCCCGGAGGCGUCCAAUCCAGAUGACCGGCAGCGGCGGCGGCCUGUGACAUCUCUGGUCAGUAGACUGCAGGCUUCGGAAGGCGCGCUGGCUGGGGCGGCGCGCGCUGGCUGGGGCGGCGCGCGCCGGUAGUGGCGCCGCUGCAGGUGGGGCGGCGCGUGGCCGCGGGAGUAGGCGGGAUCCGGCGAGGGGGCGGCACUGGGGUGGUGGAACCAGGGAAGAGGCCAUGGCGGAGCGGGAGCUCAGCGGGGAUGGGAUCUAGGGAAGUUGGGAUUGGCGGGAGGUGGUGGUCAUGGGUUUUUCUUCUGUGUGUUCGGGAGUUCGGGAAGAUCCCACCGGGCCCUAUAUAGGCACGGUGUGAUCCAAAUAACUAUUUUAAUCCCAGGAUUAAAAUAGUGUUGUCAUAUAUAUAUAAGGCUGGACUAUUUUGUUACUAUUAACAGAAUAAUAUUCUGUUACUCUCGAGCCCGUUCCUGUUUUCCGAACCGGUAUAGGUAUUACUAUUUUUUCCCUAAUAGUAAAGCACGAGUUGAGUCUGUCGGGUUCACCGUCGUGGUUUUUUUAUGAAAAGGUCCCUGUAGUUUUUGGAAUUCAACCCGCAUUACAGAUUGAACCGGUAUGAAUAAAGGGGAAAAAAGGCAGCCACGCUCUGCCUCGCGACGCUCCGCCCCACCCUACCCACCUCCUGCCACGCCCUGCGCCUUGAAUGGGCUAGAAAACUAUAAGGAUACUUGAUUUGUUUCCAUGUCUACCUUUCAGUAUUCAGCCUUGCGAGAAAAGGUGCCUCAGGAUAGAAGCUUGACAUAGGUGUGGCCUUGAAUGCCAGGAUUUUAUGAUUAGCCUGACUCUUCUGUUCUCAUUACAGAAUCAGAAUUCAAAAGAUCAAUGGAAGUUUGCUUAUGAAAGUAAAACAUCAAUGUACUAAUGCAUUUCAAGUUUUCAACAGGAGAGUACUUUCUGAUGUUUUAAUGACCAAGUAUUAUUGAUCUUGAGGUGUGUUAUUGAUCUCCGUUGCUAAAUAGAUGGUGUUUUUUGUUACUUUGUGAAGAAGCAUUGCAUGCAAGACACCAUAGAAAAAAACGGCUGCCAAUCGCAGCUUGAUGGGGCUUGUUGCGCCUCUGGAACACGCAGCCGCUAACAAAGAGCAGCUCGAAGGUUUGAACAAAUGUACAUAUUGAAAUUUAGAGUUCCAACAGUACAUAUGUGCAAGAGUGUAAUGUUCACUUGGAACUUGCUCGUGAUGGAGACGUUCCACAAAAAAAAAGUGAAGACGACCUGAAACUUCAUGAGAUAAUCUAGUAAUUCGGUCUGGUCAGUACAUUUCUGCAUAAACAAAAAAAUAUCCAAUCAAAGCACAUUGGCUUAUGAUGUUUUUUUGUGUGGGAGUUUUAUGAUGUAUUUUUUGUUAGUACAUCGUUUCAUUAAUGAUAUUGGAUGAGGGGAACAAAAAACAUGUGCAUAUGUAGCUCACUGCCAUUGAUUAAUUUACUGAAAAUUGAAUCUAUAAUCAAGACAAUGAGUUAGUUCUAGACAUGCAAAAUUAUGAAUUAAAUUUUUAUUAAACCUACAACUUGAAAAUUCUGAUUUUAUAUCAUAUGUGAUGUUGUAAUAGGAGAGGAUUGGACACUCUUCUAUCUGGUAAUGGAUUGUUUCCAAGAAUGGAUCUUGGUACUUUUGAACAAUUUUAUACUAUUGUUUUGCUAUUUGCAAAGUUGUUUGAUUUGUAUGCGCAAACAUAUUUGUUCGAGUGUUAAUUAGUUUUAUAGGUUUCCAAGCACAUGUUUAUUUAUUAUGCCGCUACUCACGUCAACCCCAAGAAGUCCAUCUAUGUGUGCAUGGGCGAUACAGAUAGUGCGGAGAAGGAAUCAUGUGCGAGAUCACUGGUCAAUCUGGUCCAGAACAUCAAAUGCCGACGUCCAUGGCGCAAGGCAGUGCUUUUCCGAGCAAGCAACCUAGCAAGUGCAUCGGUGAUCAAUGGUUUGUUUGAACAACAUAAUGUGCGAUUAUACUCGGCUUAUAUAUUGGGUUAGGGGUAGGUGGUAAUAUUUUACUCUCGUUGCAACGCAUGAGAACUGAAAUAGAUCAUGACGAACAUUGUUAGGGUACGUCCAAAUUUCAUGGUCAAAAAAGAAAUACUCAAUGUAGUCUUAUUUUUGACGUUUUGCAAAAUUUGGAUUAAAGAAGUGCUGCAUGUUGGCAAGUGGAGCAGGUUUUAAUUUUUCGCCCGGUGCAAUGCACGGGCAUUUGUACUAGUAAUAAGAAACAAAGAGGAAAAAAUCUGGAUUAGUGGGAUACGCUGAGUUAAAACUAGAUAUGAGCAAAGCUUACGAUCGUGUUGAAUAGAAUUUCCUGGAAAGGAUACUUGGUCAGUUGGGCUUCUAUGAGAGUUUUGUACAACUUAUCUCCAAGUGUAUCAGAUCAGUUACAUAUAAAUUCAAGGUUAAUUCCACAUACACUGACGUCGUGGUUCCUGGAAGGGGUUUGCGUCAGGGUGAUCCCAUAUCCCUGUACUUAUUUUUAUUAUGCGCGGAAGGUCUAUCAGCUCUACUUCAUCAAGCGGAAUUUGUAGGCCGGAUUAGAGGCAUUAAAGUGGCACCAACGGCACCCACUGUCACCCACUUAUUUUUUGCAAAUGAUUCCCUAAUGUUUUUUGAAGCUUCUCAGGAGGGAGCAACGGAGAUCAGUAGGAUUCUACAAGUGUAUGAGGCAGGGUCUGGUCAAAUGGUGAAUCGGGAUAAAUCCACAAUUAUGUUCAGUCAGAAUACUAAAAGUGCGGACAAGGAUAUAGUCAUGAAUAUUUUGGGUUUGCAGCAAGAAACAACAUGAGGGAAAUACCUAGGGCUGCCAUUGUAUAUUGGCCGGUCAGUUACACAGUGUUUCGAAUACACAAAGGAUCGGCUUUGGGCUCGAAUACAAGGCUGGUUAGAACGUUUUCUAUCCAUGAAAGGCAAGGAGAUUUUGGUUAAAUCCGUUGCUCAAGCUAUUCCGGCGUAUGCUAUGGGAUGUUUUGAUUUAACUAAAGAGCUUUGUGAAGAGCUUAGUAAGAUGAUUUGCAAGUAUUGGUGGUCGCAACAAAGUGAUGAGAACAAGAUGCAUUGGGUGGGAUGGGAUAAAAUGAAGCUUCCAAAAGAACAAGGUGGUAUUGGUUUCCGAGAUCUCUAUUCUUUUAAUUUGUCGAUGCUCGCACGUCAAGCUUGGCGACUUCUUCAAGCUCCUGAGUCACUUUGUGCUAGAGUGUUGCAAGCAAAAUAUUAUCCUGGUAGUAACAUCCUCUCUGAUGUUUCGACGCCUAAUAUGAGCUAUACUUGGAGAAGUAUUCUCAAGGGUCUCGCUAUUGUAAGAGAGGGGUAUAUUUGACGAGUUGGCUCGGGGGAAAGCAUCGAUAUCUGGAUAGACCCGUGGUUGCCGCGGAAAAUGUCAAGACAUACGCUAUCACAACAAGGAACACACUUGCUCACACGUGUCUCCGAGCUGAUUGAGCCAAACACACAUACAUGGGAUGAGGGGCUUGUAAGGCAGACUUUCCUUCCGAUGAAGGCAAGUGUUAUUCUUUCAAUACCGGUGUUUGAACAGCAUGACGAUUUCAUUGCAUGGCAUUUUGACGCAAAGGGGCUCUUCUCUGUAAAGUCUGCUUAUCGUGUGCACACAGAUAUGAUGAUGAGACAAUCAAACAUCAGUCAAGGAGAUAGCGUCGCCGGGUCAGGGUGGGGAAAGUCAGUGUGGGUUGCUAUUUGGAAAGUGCACUGCCCAGGGAAAGUACAUCAUUUUAUGUGGAGAUUCGGACAUAAUAGUCACCCGCUAAAUAUGAAUAUUGCUAGGCAGGGUGUGGAGUUGGAUACGCGUUGUGUGGUGUGCAAUGAAUAUUUUGAAGAUGGUGGACAUUUCUUUUUCCGUUGCAAGGCAGUCAGAGCUAUGUGGCGAGCGACCGAUCUGGAAAACGAAAGGAUAAAUAUUAUGCAGGCUCCCACGUUGUUGGAGGUGCUAGAGAGGAUUAUGACAUUUCCUGAGCAAAAGAAACUAAAAGUAAUUUGUCUCCUGUGGCGCUGGUGAUCUGAACGCAAUAGAAGAAGACAUGGGGAGGGUACGACUUUGCCGCCGGAAUUUGCAAGAUAAAUAUCAAUGCUUACUGAAGAAUGGAUUCAGUUCCAUUCUCCACCUACCAGACCCCCGAAAGUGCAGAUCAAUCAGUGGGAACCCCCUCCACAGGACUGGGUUAUGUUGGAUUUUGAUGCUUCUUUCAUUGGGGGCUUGGGAACUGGUGGGUGGGGCUGUAUAGCGAGAGAUGCAGCCGGCGAUGUCUUAUGUGCUGCAGCUGGCCUCUUGGUGGAUGUGUCUGAUCCAUUGCAUGCGAAAGCACUUGCUCUAAUUAGAACCAUCAAUUUUGCAGAGAAUUUUGGUAUGGGCCGGGUGAUAUUUAUGACAGAUUGUCUACCUUUGAAGCAAGCCAUAGAUGACAGUAAUGUAGAUCCUUCAUAGCUGGGGAGUCUUUUUCAUGAGACCAAGUAUCAACUACAGAUAGGUUUCAUUCAAUUUAAGCUAGUUUAGAAAUCACGUGAAUGUAAUAUGCCUGCGCAUAAACUAGCUAGUUUUGGUUCUAGGAUGGUGAGGGGUAGUGAGCGUAUUUGGCUCAAUGAUUUACCUCCUGAUGUACUCAUUUUACUCCGUAUGUAGUCACUUGUUGAAAUCUCUAGAAAGACAAAUAUUUGGGAACGGAGGGAGUAGUAAUCUUUGUAGUACUCUUCGUAACACUUCAUAAAGAAAGAGUAGCCCUUUUUUUGUGAGCAACAGUUCAAACGAAUCUGUUGUAUCAGUUCUUAUGAUAGAUAGAAGAAAGUUCACUAGCCAAAAGGUUAGAGUAGUCUACCUUAUAAUUUGCAAUCUUAAAGAUAAUGAUCAGUUUGAAUUAAAAAAUCGGUUUGCAUUAAAAACAAUGAUCAGAUCAAAUUAAAAACAAUGAUCAGUUUGAAUUAAAAAUUCUGAAUUAAAAACAAUGAUCAAAUUUGAAUUAAAAAAAUAAAUGACCAGUUCGAACAAGAAACAAUUAUCAGUUUGAAUUAAAAACAAGAAAGAAAAAAUUGUUUCCAAUAAAUAGAAAUGCGGAAAUUCAAAAAACCCACGAAAACUCAUAUGUUAAAAGUUCAAGUCGCAAAACGAGAGAAGUACAAAACACUGUUGCAAAAGAGUUACAAAAAUAAACACACAAAACAUUUUCUUUUUGAAAAAAAUAUCAUUCAGUUCAACAAUUUAAACCAUAUAAGUUCAAGGAUGUUGAUAACAUAAACCAUCGAAAAGUUAUGAGGAUAACCAUACCAAAAAAGCAGAGUAAAGUCCAAUCUGUGAAAAUACCUCAGUACAAAAAGACACAUAUAUCAGUAUGAGUAUUCUAUUUUUCAAACAAAAAAACAACACGAUGAGAGAAAUUCAAAAUGGAAAAAGUUCAAGUGGUAAAAUGAGAGAAGUCCAACAUAUCGUAGCAAAACAAGGUUGAGUUCAAAAGAAAACACAAAACAUUUUCAUUUUAUUAAAAAAAAUCAUUCGGUUUAAUGGUAUAAACUAUGCAAGUUCGGGCAUGAUGAUACAAUUGAGAAGUUACGAGGAAAAUUAAUAUAAAACCAUACGGGCAUCCGUUCAAGUACUCUUUUUUUUUAAAUCAUUCAAAACUACUGUCAAAAAUACCUCAGUACAAACACAUACAUACAUCAAUACAAAGUACUCUAUUUUUAGACAGGAAAAAACAACACGAUGGGUUUCACACUAUUCAAAAUUACUCUUAAACGGUUGCGAACUAGAGAAAACGUUCAACAUGACUAAGUUUCGCAUUUUUGAUAGCUAUCCAACGGUAUAUUAUUUGCCUCAUUUCGACAAUCUUUAAAAAAAUCGCGUUCAAAAUCAAAUUUGACCGUAUUCGAAUUUGUUUUUAAACCGUAAGGAAUUAGAAAAACAUUUUUAUACGAAAAAGUUGCGCAUUUUCCAUAGCUUUCCAACGCCGUAUCAUUUGCGUCAAUCCGACAAACCAUUUGAAAAAAAAGCAAAAAUACGUUUCGUCCAGAAUUUCACCGUUUUUCAAAUUACUUUUAAAUUGUAUAUAAUUUGAAAAAAAGUAGAUAUAUGGAAGAUGCGUAUUUUUACCAGCUUUCCAACGCCAUCUUAUUUGCUCAAUUCUGACAAACCGUUUGAAAAUUGAGUCCAAAAUACGAUUCACGUUUUCGGUUUUGAAAAAAAACUUUUUUUUCAAAACUGCUUUUAAGCCGUGAUGAUUUUGCAAAAAGUUCCUAUAUAUUUGUAAUGUAGAUGCCAAAAGCUUUCCAACGAUACACUACACACCCCAUUCCGACGAGAUGAAAAUCAUGAGUACAACAGUCUGAAACCAUAUAUAACUAUUCUGAUAACACUUCCGCACUGCACGCUUAACGCAAGUGCACAUAAUUAAGUAUAUGUUGCAACAACCGAUUCUUAGUGGUAGGAUUGGAAAGUGGGCUUACGCACUAAUAGAAUAUGAUUUAACAUAUGAAUCGUUGCGUGCUAUGAAGGGUCAAGUUAUCGCCGAUUUCAUUGUUGAUCAUAGGAUUAAAGAUGAUGAAAAUAUUAAUUAUGUUAGUGUGUGUCCAUGGAAGCUUUAUUUUGAUGGAUCGGUUUGUAGGGGCGGGCAAGGCGUCGGUAAUGUUUUAGUUUCACCUAAUAAUGUUGUUUAUGAUACAUCGGUCCGUUUGGAAUAUCCUUGCACUAAUAACCAAGCUGAGUAUGAAGCUUUACUGUUUGGUUUACAAACUUUAGUUGAUAUGAGCGUAAAGGAUGUAGAUGCUUUUGGGGAUUCGCUUUUGGUAGUACAACAAAUUAAAGGCGAAUUUCAAUGUUUUGAUGGGUUAUUAAAUAGUUAUUUGGACCGAUAUUUAGACAUAAUUAAGUCUCUAGAUAUGUUCAGCAUCCAUCAUAUACCUAGAGAAGAAAAUUCUAGAGCUAAUUGUUUAGCCCAGGAAGCAUCGGGUUAUCACAUUCGUAAAAGAAUGUUUUAUAUAUUAGAAAAGCCGAUGCAUGCUGAGUCUAUAAUGUUGGAUACUUUGCCACGGGGUGCAUUUGGGCCUAACAGUUGAACAACUAGCUUACAAUGUACUGCAGAUUCGGUGCAUGGGUCACAAACGACCGAAUUAGCAAAUAAAUUAGAAUUAAGUGAUUGGAGAGUUCCUCUAGUUAAUCAUUUAAAGGAUCCAAGUAAAACAAGAGAUAGAAAAAUUCGGCGACAAACUUUAAAAUAUACUUUGUUUAAUGACGAGUUGUAUCGCCGAACAAUAGAUGGGUUAUUUUUAAAAUGCUGGGAUUCUGAUCAGUCUAGAGUAGUUAUGGGUGAAGUGCACGAAGGAAUAUGUGGAACACAUCAGUCGGCUCACAAAAUGUGAUGGUUAUUAAAAAGAGCAGGUUUUUAUUGGUCGACUUUGCUAGAGGAUUGUUUUCGGUACUAUAAAGGUUGUGAGGCAUGUCGAAAAUUUGGGAAUAUACAGUUAGCGCCGCAGCUAUGUUAAAUCCUAUAAUUAGGCCGUGGCCAUUUAGAGGAUGGGGUUUAGAUUUUAUUGGUGAAAUACAUCCUUCGUCUUCUAAAAGACAUCGCUUCGUCCUAGUAGCCACAGAUUAUUUUACUAAAUGGACAGAAGCAGUUCCUUUGAAAAACAUGACCCAUAAAGAGGUUAUCAGUUUUGUUUUAGAGCAUAUUGUUCAGAGAUUCAGUAUUCCUCAAACUUUAACUAUCGAUCAAGGUGCUUCUUUUAUGUCUCACCAAUUUCGCGAAUUUGCCGAAUAUUUAGGAAUUAAAUUGUUAAAUUCGUCGCCUUAUUAUGCUCAAGCUAAUGGACAGGCCGAAUCUAGCAAUAAAACUUUAAUUAAGCUUAUAAAGAAGAAAAUUGAGGAGCAUAUGAAAAGAUGGCACGAGGUACUUUCGGAAGCUUUUUGGGCUCAUCGGAUAUCUAAACAUGCAGCAACUCAAGUGGCACUGUACGACUUGGUAUAUGGUCAAGAGGCGGUGUUACCUGUAGAGGUUAAUUUACAAGCUCUUAGAGUGGCCAGACAAAAUGAUUUGUCGACUGUAGAUUAUAAUGAAUUGAUGAUGGAUAUGAUAGAUGAAAUUUCAGAAGAGAGAUUAAGAGCCUUGCGAGAAAUUGAGAAGGAGAAAUUAAGAGUAGCCAAGGCUUAUAAUAAAAGGGUGAGAGAGAAAUCAUUUCAAAUAGGAGAUUUAGUGUGGAAAACGAUUUUACCUAUUGGAACUAAAGAUAGGAAAUUCGGCAAAUGGUCGCCGAGUUGGGAAGGCCCGUACAAAAUCAUAGAGAUUGUUUCUGGAAAUUCAUAUUUUGUAUAAUCUUUGUAGGGAGAGAAGUUGUCCAAAGCUCUCAACGGAAAAUAUUUGAAAAAGUACUAUCCUAGCGUGUGGCAGGAGGCUUGAGGACAUUUGGCCGAUAUAUCAUUCAAGAUAUCGCCCUAAGAAAAAUUGGCUGAUGUAUCUUUGGACAUCGCCCAGAGCAGUAACAUGGUCGGUGAAGUGAUCAAUUUCAUCCUACGGUAAUUGCCCAGAUUUCAGGGAUGCGUUGAACUAGCAUACUUCUGCCAUGAAUAUCUCUUAACCUACCUCGUAUGCUGAAGUAUGGAGUUUGCAUGGACUAGAUGAAGAAGUGUGCUUAGUACAUGACGGUUACUAUUGCAUGUGAUAGCAACGUGGCCGGAGUAUUUUAUUAUUUCCUUGUAGAUACAAAAGUAUAUCUACGUGACAUGGUUAGAACUAGAGCCGGUGUAUUAUUUAGUAUGAUUAGCGAUAUGGCCGGAAUACUUUACUAUUUUCCUUGUAGGCCAUACUAUUAGCGAUAUGGGUACCCGCGGGUACCCUACCCAAAAACAAUGGGUAUGGGCAAGACUUGAAGAGAUUUUCUACCCACGGGUAAUGGAUACCCAUACCCGCAAAAUAUAUGGGUAGGGCAUGGGUAAGAAAUUGUGCCCAUGGGUAACCCAACGGAUACCCAGCAAAAAUUAAUAAAUGAAAAUAACUCCUAUAACAUGUGGGGUUAACAUCCAACUCAUAUGGUCCAACCCUAAAUCUCGUAUUCCUUAAACAAGUCAUAGCUCAUAGGCUCAUAAUCACCUGCUCGCCACUCCUCAUACGUCCUAUGUGACUCCUCAAAAAGAUGAAAUAUCGACUCUUCGCUACCAGACUCUUGUCGAACACUCGAUCCAGCGAUCCCCAAUUCCCACCACCGCCUUCCACUACGUCGGCCAUCCACCAACCGCUGCUCAUACUCCCCUGAUGCCUCUAAGAGGCAACCCACCGGAGGAGGCCACAUACGUGCUAUACUACUCUACCAUGAUCACUUGAAUUUUGAACUCAUUUCUCUACCUCUUAAGAAUUUGAAUGCUAUAUAUUGUACCCAAUGGAUACCCAUUGGGUAUAGGAUACCCGAUGGAUAUGGGCAUGGGUGUCAGUUUAUACCCAUGGGUAUUGAAGUGGGUGGGUAUAAAAAGUUUCUAUGGGUAUGGGUUUGGGUAGAAGGAGGUUGUACCCGCCCAUACCCUACCCAUUGCCAUCCCUGCCCAUAUACCCCGAAAACAUCCAGGAGCACCACGAAACCCUAUUUUCACCGCCGCAACCUUCUGUACCCGUGAGAUCCCAUCUUAGGGCCUUUUCGGGCGCUCCGCCGGAGGGGGAAUCGAUCACAGAGGGCUUCUACAUCAACACCAUAGCCUCUCCGAUGAUGUGUGAGUAGUUUACCACAGACCUUCGGGUCCAUAGUUAUUAGCUAGUCGCUUCUUCUCUCUCUUUGGAUCUCAAUACAAAGUUCUCCUUGAUUCUCUUGGAGAUCUAUUCGAUGUAAUUCUUUUUGCGGUGUGUUUGUUGAGAUCCGAUGAAUUGUGGGUUUAUGAUCAAGAUUAUUUAUGAACAAUAUUUGAAUCUCCUCUGAAUUCUUUUAUGUAUGAUUUGUUAUCUUUGCAAGUCUCUUCGAAUUAUCAGUUUGGUUUGGCCUACUAGAUUGAUCUUUCUUGCAAUGGGAGAAGUGCUUAGCUUUGGGUUCAAUCUUGCGGUGUCCUUUCCCAGUGACAGCAGGGGCAGCAAGGCACGUAUUAUAUUGUUGCCAUCGAGGAUAAAAAGAUGGGGUUUAUAUCAUAUUGCUUGAGUUUAUCCCUCUACAUCAUGUCAUCUUGCCUAAUGCGUUAAUCUGUUCUUAUGAACUUAAUACUCUAGAUGCAUGCUGGAUAGCGGUCGAUGUGUGGAGUAAUAGUAGUAGAUGCAGAAUUGUUUCGGUCUACUUGUCGCAGACGUGAUGCCUAUAUACAUGUCAUGCCUAGAUAUUCUCAUAACUAUGCACUUUUCUAUCAAUUGCUCGACAGUAAUUUGUUCACCCAUCGUAAUACUUAUGCUAUCUUGAGAGAAGCCACUAGUGAAACCUAUGGCCCCGGGUCUAUUUUCCAUCAUAUAAGUUUCCAAUCUAUUUUUACUUUGCAAUCUUUACUUUCAAUCUAUAUCAUAAAAAUACCAAAAAUAUUUAUCUUAUUAUCUCUAUCAGAUCUCACUUUUGCAAGUGGCCGUGAAGGGAUUUAUAACCCCUUUAUCGCGUUGGUUGCAAGGUUCUUAUUUGUUUGUGUAGGUACAAGGCGACUUGCGUGUAGUCUCCUACUGGAUUGAUACCUUGGUUCUCAAAAACUGAGGGAAAUACUUACGCUACUUUGCCGCAUCACCCUUUCCUCUUCAAGGGAAAAACCAACGCAAGCUCAAGAGGUGGCAACACUCUCCCAUCUCGUUGCUAUGCAUCUCCUAGAUAGAUCUUGCGUGAUCAUAUGAUUUUUUUUGAAAUACUGCGUUCCCCAAUAGUUGAUGCUUCUGUGGCUCCUGCUCCUACUGUUGCCGAGGAGGAGGAUGAUUACGAGGGCGAUUACGAGGAUGGGGUUGAUCAAAAUCAGAACUACAUGCGACCACCAACACCACCACCAGGGCGUCCACAUGCAAAUAAUCGCAACAGUAGGGCUGCACCCCCACCUCAGGUACAAUAUCAUGACAAUGUUCCUAAACUAAAACUGAAUAUUCUGCCAUUUGAGAGUAGAUACGUUCCUGAUAUAUAUCUUACUUGGGAGUUAGAAUCUGAACAAUAUUUUACAUGCUUACAAUAUCCUGAGGAUAGACGUGUUGCUGCUACUGUUUGUGCUUUCACUAGUUUUGCUUGUGUAUGGUGGUCUGAACAUUGUAGAUUAUAUCAGGACAAUAUCCCAACUACCCGGGCUGCUUUGAAAAUUGCUAUGCGUACUCAUUGGGUUCCACCAUAUUAUCAACGUGAACUACUUAAAAAAUUGUAGUGCUUAAGAUAAGGAAAAUAUUCUGUAGAGGAGUAUUAUCAGGAAUUACAACUGACAUGAUUAGAUGUGCUAUUGUUGAGGAUAAUGAAUCUAUGCUUGCACGUUUUGUGGGUGGAUUAAAUAGAGAGAUUCAGACCAUUUUAGAGUAUAAGGAUUAUAAUAAUAUCACCCGUUUAUCCCAUCUUGCUUGCAAAGCUGAACGUGAGGUGCAGGAUCAACAUGCAUUGGCGUGAACUAAUUUUUCUGCAGGUCGAUCUUCAUCAUGGACACCACAUACAUCAUCUACUUCCACACGUUCUGCUACAGCACCGCCUACUUCAGCCGCCAACUCCAACUGAGAUGCAAGAAAACAGGCACCGCCACCACCAUCCGCCAAGAGCACACCUUUUGGUCCCGCACAUAGUUCUUCUUCAUCCAUGGAAUCAACAAGGCAAACACAUAAUGUUAUAUGUCGUCGUUGGAAGGGUGGAGGUCACUAUGCUAGCAAAUGUCCAUCUCCGUGUGUGAUGAUCAUUACCGAGGAUGGUGGAUAUGAGUCCACUAGUGAUUAUGAUGAGGAGAGUUUCACUCUUAUUGCUAGUGAAGAGUAGGGUGGACAUGAUUCCGAACAAGAGACGCAAUACAUGGCUGCCGAAGAUGCUGAUAGGUAUGAAAAUUUAGUUGCUCAACGUGUUUUGAGUGUGUAUGUAACACAAGCUGAGCAAAAUCAGAGGCACAAUUUGUUCCAUACAAAGGGAGCUGUGAAGGAACGUUCUGUCUGCGUCAUCAUUGAUGGAGGGAGUUCCAACAACUUGGCUAGCAUGGAGAUGGUGGAGAAGCCGUCUCUCACCACCAGGCCACAUCCUCAUCCUUACUACAUACAGUGGUUCAACAACAACGGCUAGGUUAAGGUAACACGUACUGCUGUGUGCAUUUUAGUAUCGCUACAUAUGCUGAUUAUGUUGAUUGUGAUGUGGUACCCAUGCAAGCAUGCUCCUUAUUACUUGGUAGGCCAUGGUAAUUCGAUAAAAACUCUGUACACCAUGGUAGAAACAAUCAGUAUUGAAAGUGCUAGUUAUCGACUAGAGGGGGGAGGGUGAAUAGGUGAUUUUUAUGAAAGUCUUCAAGACAUGCAGUUAAAUCAAUAACUAAAUAGGAUACAACGGAAGAUAAACUACACUAGCCAUGCAAUAGUGUCAAAGUACAGUACAAGCCAUGCAUGAAGAUAAGUAGCAGCUAGGUAGACCAUAUCAGAAUUGCAAGACAAUAUGAAGCCAAAUAUGCAAUCAGAGUGAAUGUCUUUACACAAUGUCUUUGAAUAGAACAUGCAAGCAAAAGCUUCACGGAGCUAAAUUGCAAGUAAAGGAGUGAAGUGAUAGAACCAGUUGCUUUAAUGAAGACAAGGAUUUGGUAGACCAGUUCCAGUUGUUGUGACAAUUGUACGUCUGGUUAGGGAGGCUGAGAUUGAACUCAGAAGACCAUGUCUUCACCUUAUCCCCUUGAGCUAAGACCCACAGAUCUCGCCCAAUCACUUGGGUAAGUCUUCGAGGUAGAAUUCUAAACCUUCACAGACUUCGUUCACCAGUAAACCACAAUGACUCUUGGAUGCUCAGACGUGAUGCCUAACCAACUGGAAGAUCACAAUUUUAAGUGUAAUAAGUCUUCGGUUCACGCAGAACAGAAAGACUUCAGUGAUGCCAAACACUCUUUGGGCUCUAGGUGUUUUGGGUUUGUCCUCGCAAGGAUUCUCUCUCAAAGGCUUCGGAGGUGGGUUGCUCUCAAACGACAAAAGCCGUGCACUAACUCGAAGCAGCCACCAAUUUAUGGUGGAGGGGUGGGCUAUUUAUAGCCAGGAGGCAACUUGACGUGAUAUGUCCAAAAUGACCCUAGGUCAAUGGACAACCGACACGUGUCCAACGGUCGGAUUUCAAACACACGCGGCAGCUUGACUUGGGCUACAAGUAAAGCUGACUCAUCCAACUCAGGAUAAGAUCUUUUCUCAUUUGUCUUUGCUCGAAGACAUAGGAUUUUGGGUUGAGCAUCACAUUAAUUUCCUGACUUUGUUUACUUGGACCCCACUUAAAAGUUUGGUGGUUCCUAUGACUCAGGAAAGAAGAAAAUGAAACUACGAAAGAAACUACGUCUUCGCACUCUAUUGUCUUCAAGUGAAUGUCUUCACGUGUCAUUAUCUUUGACACGAAUGUCUUCACAAACCACCAAUGUCUUCAUACAUUUUUAGGGGUCAUCUUUUAAACCGAAUCAAUAGGGACUUCUACCUGUGUUCUCGUGUGAAUCUCACAAACACAUUAGUCCCUCAACCAUGUCUGUCAUUGCUACUUCUUGAGCUUGCAUUGAUUUUUCCCUUGAAGAGGAAACGGUGAGGCAGCAAAGUAGAGAUAAAAAUUUCUCUCAGUUAAGAACGAAGGUAUCAAUCCAGUAGGAGGCACAAGCAAGUUCCCAAUAUAUGCACCUGCACAAAGCCAUAAACUAACAAACACUUGCACUCAACACGAAAAAGGGGUUGUCAAUCCCUUCACGGUCACUUGUAAGAGUGAGUAAUAGAGAUAAAUAUAAGAUAAGUAAAAGGCAAAAUAAAGUAAAUAUAAAUAAAUUGCAGCAAGGUAUUUUUGGGUUUUUGGUUUUAUAGAUCUGAAAAUAUAUGAUGGAAAAUAGACCCCGGGGCCAUAAGUUUCACUAGAGGCUUCUCUCUCGAAGAAAGCAUACGGUGGCUAAACAAAUUACUAUUGAGCAAUUGAUAGAAAAGCACAAAGUUAUGAUGAUAUCUAAGUCAAUGAUCAUGAAUAUAGACAUCAAGUCCGUGACAAGUAGACCGACUCCUCCAUGCAUCUACUACUAUUACUCCACACAUCGACCGCCAUCCAGCAUGCAUCUAGUGUAUUAAGUUAACAAGAACGGAGCAACACCUUAAGCAAGAUGACAUGAUGUAGAGGGAUAAACUCAAGCAAUAUGAUAUAAACCCCAUCUUUUUAUACUUAAUGGCAACAAUACAAUACGUGCCUCGCUACCCCUACUAUCGAGGACACCGCAAGAUUGAACCCAUCACAAAGCACCUCUCCCAUUGCAAGAAAAACCAAUCUAGUUGGCCAAACCAAAUUGAUAGAUCGGAGAUAAAUACAAAGCUAUCUUAAUCAUGCAUAAAAGAGUUCAGAAAGGACUCAAAUAAUAUUCAUAGAUAAUCUGAUCAUAAAUACACAACUCAUCCGAUCUCAACAAACGCACCGCAAAAGAAGAUUACAUCGAAUAGAUCUCCAAGAACAUCGAGGAGAACAUUGUAUUGAAGAUCAAAGAGAGAGAAGAAGCCAUCUAGCUACUAGCUAUGGACCCUUAGGUCUGUGGUAAACUACUCAUGCAUCAUCGGAAGGGCAACAAGGUUGGUGUAGAGGCCCUCCGUGAUUGAAUCCCCCGCCGGCAGAGUGCCGGAAAAGGCCCCAGGAUGGGAUCUCACGAGAACAGAAGCUUGAUGCGGCGAAAAAGUAUUUUUGGUGUGCCUCUGACGUAAGGGUUAGGAGAGCCAUGAGGGGCCCACAAGCCUAGGGGGCGCGCCCUCCUGGGGCGCGCCCCUAGGGCUUGUGGCCUCCCCCCGAAGCUUCCUAGGUGUCUUGUUGUCUAAGAGAAAUCAUCAAAAAGUUUUAUUCCAUUUGGUAUUGAUUUUCUUUAGAAGACAAAAACAAGGAAAAACAGCAACUGGCACUGGGCACUAGGUUAAUAGGUUAGUCCCAAAAAUAAUAUAAAAUAGCAUAUUAAUGCAUAUAAAACAUCCAAAACAAAUAACAUAAUAGCAUGGAACGAUAAAAAAUUAUAGAUACGUUGGAGACGUAUCAGUCAUCAAUACUCCAAAACCAACUAGGGGUGGCACUAGAUGCACUUACAAUCUCCCCCAUUUUGGUGAUUGAUGACAAACUGGUUGAAGUUUUCAACGGGGACAAAUAUAUUAAAGUUAAAGAACGUGGUAAUUGGCUUCAUGAGAUUGGAGGGGCUCCCCCUGAAGAUGUGCAUAUAAGUAAUUUGCCUUUGAAUGCAAAUGCACAUGGUAGAUUUUGCUUUGUGGAGAUCUCCCUUUUUUCAUGAAGUCAAAUCAAAGUGCAUAUAGGAAUAAUUUGAAGAUAAUGAUAUGCACAAUGAAAAAUGGGCGUCUACGGAAUGACUGCAUGCACAUAAGAUUAAUCUUGAUCACGCGUACAAAAAGAAAGUGGCAAUGUAGCAGACGUCCCAUCUGGACUUAAGUUUACAACUCAAAACCACAAAUGUUCAAGAACGAGAGUUGUAAGACUUGAACAAAAUACGACACUCGACCCAAAAUGCCCGCUUAAAGACUAUCAACCCACAUGCUUCUCUGUAAGUGCAUCUAGUGCCACCCCUAGUUGGUUUUGGAGUAUUGAUGAAAAACGUGGUUGAUGGACUAAUGUGUUUGUGAGAUCCACAGGAGAACACACGUAGAAGUCCCUAUUGAUUUGGUUUACCCAUCAGAGAUGACCCCUAAAAAUGUACGAAGACAUUGAAGACAAUGGUGGUUCGUGAAGACAUUCACGUCGAAGAGAAUGACGUGUGAAGACAUUCACUUGAAGACAAUGAAGUGCGAAGACAUAGUUGUUUUGUAGUUUCAUUUUCUUCUUUCUUGAGUCUACACUACAAAAAAAGACACAUCCGUGACAUUUUGGGCCCAACGAAUUUUUUUCCUGUCAUACUUAUGACACUUCUAUGACGAUAAUUGUGACAAAGCCCGGUAUCAUCAUAGAUGUGGUGGGGUCCUACUUCUAUGAGAAAAAAUCAUGACAGAAAAUGGCCUUUUCGUCCUGGGCGGGCCGGAGACGCAGCUGCAUGACAUUCUUUGGGCCGUCCAUGAUGGAAAAAACCGUGGUAGAAGCGAGGGCGAGGAAAAUAUCGGGGUGUUUCCGGUUACGGUGGGUGGUCGGGGCCAAGCGAUGCGCGUUUCUCUCGUACACGCACGCGCGUGGGUGCGAGGCGUUUGGCUCAAACUGAACCCGAGCGAGGCGUUGGGCUCUAACUAAACCCGAGCGAUUGCACUGCAGGCUACGCGUUACUGAACCUGAGCGAUCGAUCGAUGGCUGUUAACUGAACCCGAUCGAGCGAUUCCUUCGCUACUGCUGCUAACUGAAGCCGAUCGAUGCUGCCUCUGGAUGAACAGUGAGCAUUGCUGGGAGGGUUUGGAUGAACAGUUCCCGGUAAGGGUGGAUGAACAGGACCCUGUGGUGUUGCCUCUGGAUGAACAGGACCCCGAUCGAUCGAGCCGGUUGGGGCUGGAUGAACAGGACCCCGUGGAGGGCAGGAUGAACAGGACCACCCUGUGCAGGGCUGGAUGAACAGUAGACGGUGGAGGGCUGGAUGAACAGUAGCCCGUGGAGGGGUAGUUGAACAAGAGCCCGUGGAGAGGGCUGGUUGAACAGUAGCCGGUGGAGUAGCGCGCGGUGGAGGCUGGAUGAACAGGAGCCCGUGGAUGAACAGUCGCAGGUGGAGGCUGGAGGAGGUCGACGUGGAUGAACAGUAGCCUGUGGAGGCUGGAGGGGGUCGACGGUGGAGAUGAACAGUAUCCCGUGGAGUCCCGUUUUGCGGUACGCCACGCCCUCCCGAUGAACAGGACCCCCGUUUCGAUCGUAGCGCUCCAACACAAGUCCGUUUCCUCCGUUUUGCGGUACGCCACACCCCUCCCUAUCAACAGGACCCCCGUUUCGACCGUAGGAGGUCCAUUUCCUCCACGUACGCCAGAACCCUCCCAAUGAACAAGAUCCUGUUUCGAACAUGGCCGGUCGAACACAAGGCCGUUUCCUCCGUUCUGCGGUACGCCAGGCCUCGUUUCCAUCGGCUGUUCCGUCCAAGCCCUCCCGAUGAACACGACGACGCAUUCCGUUCCGACCCAGCCGGUUGGCUCCCCAUGAACACGACGACGACGCUGUUUCUCCGUUCUGACCCAGCCAUGUACACGAGCCCUGGCCGUACGUACACGUGAGUAGGCGUUCGAGACCUCGCUUGUAUGUACGUACGUGGCCGUAUUUACUUUCUUGCACCCUGGCCGUUGUACGUAUGUGUACAUGCUACGUACGCGCCUCUACUAUGACACGUGCACGCCUCUACAUCGACCAGUAUGUACGUACACGUUCGCGACCAGAAUGACAACGCUACGUACGCUUCAACCAGGUGGGUCCCAACUGUCAGGCACUUCCUUGCGUGCGAAGAUGUAGCUGGUGGGUCCCAGCAGUCAGGGGGGCGAAUCAUUUUUUUUGCCCGGACGCACUUCCUUGCGUGCGAAGAUGUAGCUGGUGGGUCCCAGCAGUCAGGGGGAAAUGUUUUUUUUUUGUGAAAUACGGUGGCCCGUCCGGUGGGUCCCCGCUGUCAGGUGGAGGAAUAAUUAUUUUGCGCGUAAUAAGGAGGCACUUCCUUGCUGCGGCCGUGGACCCAGCUAUCAGCCUCUCCACGUACAGUACUCUUCCGAUGGAAGCCGUUCCUUGACCACGUUCACCACGCCGCGCCAAGAGCACCAGGGUGGUGGACGACGGCGAGGCCUAGGAAGGGGACGACGCGGAGCCAGGGAAGACGCGACAGUGGAUGCCCACGCGUAGAGGAGUGUGAGGGUUCACUGGUUCGCUGCUGUGUGAGGCUGCCGUCACCGCAGAAUAACAGGGUGUGUGGGUGAGUAGAGGGAUGGCCUGGCCAGCGGUGGAAGUAGUAGGGGGGCGGUGAGGCCUCCGCCGCAUCGCAGCCGGCCACGGAGGCAGGAGCACGAGGCACGACCGGCGCUGGUUUGGGCGGCUGGAGCAAGAAGAGCAGAGGUUGAAGAAGCACUACGGCUGUUGGAUGGACAUCGUACGGUCACUGGAGCUAGAAUCGUGCAUAUUGACUAAGUUGACAAAGCCCUGCGUCCUCGUCAACUUAGUAGGCCCACAAGUGCCUACCACUAUACUGGGUCCCAGCUAGCAGGGGGAGUAUUCAUUUUUUGUGUGUAAUAAGGAGGCACUUCCUUGCAUGCGAAGAUAUAGCUGGUGGGUCCAAGCUGUCAGCGGCGGUAACGUUUUUUUCGCGAAAUACAGAGGCCCUUUCGGUGGUUCCCAGAUGUCAGGUGGAGGAAUCAUUAUUUUGCACGUAAUAAGGAGGCAUUUCCUUGCGUGCGGCCGUGGACCCAGCUGUCAGCCUCUCCACGCACAGUCCACUUCAUAUGCAUGUCAGUCAUUGACCAUGUUGACCAGGCCGCGCCGAGAGCACCACGGCGGUGGAUGACGGCGAGGCCUAGGAAGGGAACGACAUGGAGCCAGGGAAGACUCGGCAGUUGUUUCCCACGCGGAGGGGAGUAUGACUGUACGAGGGUUUACUGGUUUGUCUGCCGUCGCCGAAGAAUAACAGCAGGUGUGGGUGAGUAGAGGGAUAGCUAGGCCAGCGAUGGGAGUACGGUGGGGCGGUGAGGCCUGCGCGGCAGCACAGCCGGCCGCGGGGAGGAGGGAGCAGGCAGUCCCGCAGGCGCUUGUUUGAGCGGCUGGAGCAGGAAGAGCAGAGAUUGAAGAAGCAUGACGGCCGUUGGAUGGACAUCCAACAGUCACUGCUUGUGCGUCAACCUUUUUUUAGGAAAGCCUCAAAUCUGUGGAAAACAGCAUAUAACUCAUCUGCCAUUAUUUCUAAUAAUUUACAGCCCAUUUGCUAAUUCUUAAGGUUUUUUUGGAGCCCAUAUUCUUUUUGUUAGCAUUACAACCCAUAUUGUGGCCACGGUUAAAAAAUUAUACGAAAUUUUGCAUAUUUUGGUGCGGUCCGAACUCUUUUUAAUCCCGAAAUUUCGAGUCACGUUCAAACUGAUUUUAAAAAUAAAUAUAUAUCAAUAUAAAAUCCAACAAAUUGUCCAUGUAUAAAAAUCAAUGCAAUUUAAAAUCUCGAAAUAAAAAAAGAAAUUUGAAACUAAUUGCCGGUUUGAUGUGUUUUAAAAAUGUACAACCCAUUUCUCAUUACUGAUAGGCCAUUUUCUCGGCCAGCCGAAUGAAGCUCUCCUCGUCUUGAAAGAUUUGCAGCCCAACAGGCCUGACAAAGCGACUUACUUGGCAAAUCACAAAAAAACUGGGCUGUGGCUGUGGACCCAGCUGUCGCCGUGGACCCAGCUGUCAGCCUCUCCACGUACAGUACUCUUCCAAUGGAAGUCGGUCAUUGACCACAUUGAACACGCCGUGCCGAGAGCACCAAGGCGGUAGACGACGGCGAGGCCUAGGAAGGGGACGACGCGGAGUCGGGGAAGACGCGGCAGUAGAUGCCCACGCGGAGAGGAGUACGAGGGUUCACUGGUUCGGUUGCGGUGUGAGGGUGCCGUCGCCGCAGGGCCUGGCUAGCGUGGGAGUAGUAGGGGGCGGUGAGGCCUCAACGGCAGCACAACCGGCCACUAGAGGCAGGAGCGGGCGGUCUCGCCGGCGCUGGUUUGGGCGGCUGGUGCAAGAAGAGCGGCGAUUGAAGAAGCAGCAGGACCGUUCGAUUCAAAUCCAACGGUUACUGCUGCUAGAAUCGUUUGUUGACUAAGUUGACAAGCCCUGCGUAUGCGUCAACUUAGUAGGCCCACAGGUCAGCCUCCCAACCGGUGCGCCCCAGAUGUCAGUGGGAGUAAUCAUUUAUUCGCGUAAUAAGGAGGCAGUUGAUUGCGUGCGGCCAGCUCAGCGGAGGGAGUAGGGUGGGCCGGGGAAGCCUGCGCGGCAUCACAGUGGGCCACAAGAGGAGGGAGCAGGCAGUCCCGCCGGCGCUAGUUUAGACGAGUGGAGCAGGAAGAUCAGAGAUUGAAGAAGCACGUCGGCCGUUGGAUAGACAUCCAACAGUCACUGCUGCUAGAAUCGUGUGUUGACUAACAAAGCCUUGCGUAAACAAGUCAGCCUCAAAAUCUGUGGCGUGUACAGCCCAUUUGCUAUUAUUUUUAUAAUUUUUACUCAUUUUCUAAUUCAUGUGGAAUUUAUUGCAGCCCAUUUUCCAUUUUUAGAAUUGCUGCCCAUUUUCUGGUCAGUACCAGGGUUAAAAAAAUAACUAAAUAUGUGGGAAAUUUGAAAAUUCGCAAAUUUUUGCUGGGGAAAAAUAUUCUUAAUCCAAAAAUUAGUAGCCAUACUAAAACAAAUUUAAAAAUAAAUUAGUACUAUGUCAUGUUAAAUCCAAUGAAAUACUAAGAUAUCAGUGAAGAACGAAAACAAAAAAAGAAACUAAUAUCCCAUUUGCUAUAUUUUUUUGGAAUUUUCAACCCCUUUUGAUAUUACUUUUAACAGACACUGACGAUACUCUUUGGCCAGGCCGGAAUGCAUCCCUCCUCGUCUUGAAAGAUUUGCAGCCCAGUAAGUCGGAGAAAACAAAUAGGCCUAGCUUGGGUAUUCUUCAAAAAGAAAUACUGGGCUACCUAUUUUCCCAAAGAAAAAACUGCUGGGCUGGUCAUGUUGUUAGACGGGCCACAGAGACCGUACAACCCAGUUUAUAGCCUGCUCCUCCGAAUUACUACUAAAAAAAGUUGUGCAAUUCUGUCGUUAAUUGACUAUACGUUGAAAAUGAUGUGGGUCCCAGAUAUCAGCAGGGUGGAUUAGAGUAAAAAAACGAGGGGUUCAUCUGAGUAGUAAAAGAGGCGCUUGCUUGUGUUCGGGAGUGGACCUGGUGGGUCCGUACUGUCAUACUCACAACUACAGCCCUCUCCCGAUUCACUAUGUUGACAAGGACCGUUUCAAAGAAAAACUAUGUUGACAGGGCCGGACGGCGGCGCCGCGGCGAGCGCACCAAGGCGGAGGAUAAAGUGCUGUCGCCAAUGUGCUGGGCUGGGUUGGACAUUCUUAUUAAAAAUAAAAAUGGACCGGAUCUAUUUACGACGUUGACUACGAUUUGCAUGGGUCCGCUGGUUGCAGGAAGAAAAUGCUGGGAGAAAGAAGACUGGUCGCUAUCUUUGCCGAAGAAUAAUAUCGACUGAAUGUAACGACACUAUCAUAGGAAAUAAUAUCCUCCUGUUAAAUCGUGAAUUUAAAGAACUGGUGCAUGAGCAUUUAGCUUUAUUUAUUUAUUUACUUAUUUAUGUUUAGGGGACCAUGAGCAUGUACCUGGGCCGGAUUCAUGUGAGAGCCUCCCUUCCAGUUAAUUAUGGGCUUCUCUAUUGGGCCUUCAUCAGUGGGCUGCAUGUUAUCAACAAGUGGAAAAUGUGUUCCGUACGAAAAAUAGUAUGCACUACGUACGGUAUGGGGCACUAAAGGGUCGAACCGUGCAACGACUUCCAAAACAUUGUGUUUGUCAUUCUAACAACACAUUUAUUCAACCAACAGAUGAAAUAUACUACUGAUUGUACAUUGAAAAUAGCAGCAGCAACAACAACCAGGGCUGGGGGUGCAACAGAAGCAGAAGCAGGCCAGAAGAGUGAAGACGCAGCUCUCUCUUCCAAACCAAACAUCAGCCAUCAUUACAAAAGGGCUACCAAAAAAGAACAAGUGUAUGCAUCAAACUAAAUAAAGAUCCUACUACACCAAGUGUACGCAUCUAACUAACUGGCUCAGUUAGACGUUACUAUUUAUUAAGCUGUGGAGAUUGGCUGACGGCUUGAACCAGAUGGGUGCCUGACGGGGGAAACUCCAGCCAGCAGGUCGAAGUCUGAUACUUGCGACCCUCUCUCCUACUUUGGGCUGCAGAGCGUGGCGGCACAUAUCAGGGUAUGGUGCAUGCAGAGACGCAUGGUACGAUGUGUACACACAGUUUUGCCAGAUGAACGAAACCGCGCUGCCAUCAUGAUCCUUGCCGUCGGUUAUCUCCUGGUUAAUCAGAUAAUUCAGUCCGACAAACAGAGAGCGUGUACCAAGGCUACUUACCAACCUCCAGUCAAAAAUUCCUGAAGGCCCAGAGAAGCUGGGAUCCUGCUCAAAGACCUUGCAGUGACUGUGAUUGUAUUCCGCGAAACAACACGUCCGGUACGUGCGAACGAUUGCGUCUGAUCGAGCCAGGAACCACCUGCAACUGCCAUGCCGCUUUUCUUUGAAAGGUUCUGGGAUUAGGAAGGGUAGGGACACCAUGCGGCCUACAACAUCAUAUCAAGUUGGAGUCAAAUAACCCUCAAAAAAAGUUGGAGUCAAAUAAAAAAGGGCUCUUGAUAGGCGACACUGCGGUUGAAGAACGCAAUUAGCCUGAAGUCCUUAUAAUUCGCAGAUCUUGUGGGCACUUGGUAGAUUACAACCUUGAGCAAAUCAAACUUGGUAUGAUGUUGGCUACUGUAAGAUUCCGAGUAUUCUGGGCCGCGGUGCCAAAGCAGUGCAGUGUUAAUCGAAGGAAGGGGGAUCAAUCGCCGGGUGUAGACCUCCACGAGCAUCCAGUUGUCGCGACCGUCGACGAGCACCAUCCAAGACGUGUUCAUGCCAACCCAGUACAUACCUUUAAUGUAGUUGAGGGUGACGGGGAUCGGAUCGCAGUCAAGGGGGUUGAUGCUCGCCACCCUACGAUCGUUAUGCUGCGUCACAUGCCAUUUCUGAAGAUUAGGCGGCAUCAGCAAGCAAGGAGCUGGCUUAAAAAGCUCCGGCCUGAGGGCUUUGAGGAAACGGUACAGCCCCGAUGAACACGCGGUGAGCGGCAUGGUACUGAGAUUGUCCACACGCGAAACAAUGAGCUUGAUUACCUCUGUGGGGAGCAAAUUCCAGCCACUCUUUCAGCGGACGCUGCUCGGUUCUGCCAUUGUUAGUGCUUGGGUUUCGGACGAGGGGGGGAGGCGCCUUAGCAGGGAUGGAAGAUUGGAUAGGGGGGAGGCGCCUUAGCGGGGAUGGAAGAGCGGACAAACAUGGAGAAGAGAAUAUGUGCUGCGGGAAGUGGACAGGUGAUGAUGACUACAGCACGCCGCUUGACUUACGAGACACAUACUAGCGUAGGGUCAUAUCGAAGUCAGACAACUUGCUUGAGUGAUCACAGUAGUGGUACUCCCUACAGUACCUGCUACUAUGCCCUAACUUGCUUGAGUAGAGUAGUAGGAGUAAUGGAGUAGGACUCUGCUCUACUACUAGCACCGGAGGAGUAGUAUGUUCUAAUCUAAAAUAGUUACAAACUUCAAUGCCCGAGCGUGGAACGACUACGAACCGCCAUCGGUGCUAACUCCAAUCCUGCAAGUCAUGGAUUUGUUUCUUUUUAACUUUCUGUACGAAUCAGUAGCCAGCCUGCAAGUCAUGUACACUGUACUGACAGUGGAACCCACAGAGUACUUAGAAUACAAGAUUAAGGAUGCAAUUAACUUUUUAUAGAGGGAGAAUCAUACACGCAAUUAACUCAAAUGGAUUGGACAUGACUCUAUUAUUCUCCAACGGCAACCGACAAAUUUCCUCCCGCGGGCCGGAGUAGGUUUCUCGGUUUGCAUGCUGGUUUAACGGAGGGGUUUGAUGGAGGCGAGGAGGCGUGUUCAGCCGGGCGUGCAGUGAACGGCGCAGUACUAUUCGAUUUGACAACUACAACUAGUAUAUUAUAAAAAACAAAGAAGAGUAGUAGAGAUAGAGAUAAGAAUAGAGACUAGGGAGGAGCACCAUCUACUGCUUCGUGGGCUACUCCUGUGCUCCAUUUGGCGGCCGCAACGUCCCCUACAGCCACUCCCUCCUGCGCUCCAUUCGGCGGGCGCUGUUGAAAUUUGGGGAGCGCACUCUCGCGACUGCUAGCAGCGACGACUUCACCGACAAUGACUUCUUCCCCGACCUCGGCAACCUCUUCCUCAACGACAUGGGCGACAACCUCAAUGCCAAUGGUGCUGCUCCCGUUGCACCGUAUGUGUUUUUGUCCUUCCUGUGCGAAAUCGUGGUAGAAUUCAUGUUUCUAGUCUGUGUCCUAGAUUUGAUCUGUUCAUCUACUAUGCUAGUCUGCAUGAUUAGUUUAAUCUCUGUUAUAGCCGUCAUGAUUUAUUUUGUAGUAAAUCUCGUAGUAACUUGCUCAUAUAUUCAACUGGCGGAACGUCCCUAUAGCCACUCCCGUUUCAUGGACGGCCUGGUCGAUGCCUCCAAGGAGCCCUUCGUCUACUGCUAUGAGUGCCAGGUGUCGUUUUGGGGCUCGCCGGCGGACAUCGUGCAUCACCUGACGCAGGCGUGCGGCGAUCACUACUGGCCCUUGGCGAAGAACAUCAAGUACGAGACAUGCUUCCCGUUCACCGUGCCAGAGUCGCUGGAGGAUCAGCGCCGCCUGCUAGUCUCGGAGGAGGAUGACAGCGUCUUCCUCUUGAUCGUGGCCACCGGCGAGGCCCGCACAGGCCGCCGCCACAUUCUGUAGUGUGCAUCUGGGGCGACGCCGCUGACGCUGACACUGACACGAGGCCGAUGUACGGGUGCGUGCUCACUAUUACUACCCCUCGGAGCUACGUGGGCGGCGGCACUGGCUACGUCAAGCUGACUUGGACUCUGCCGAGCUGGGACCUUCCCACCAAUGUGGACAUCGAAGACACACGGUAUUAUUUGACCCCCAACAAUGUGCACGGGGACUCCAAGGAGGUUCACCUGGACAUCUACAUUAUCAAGUUAAAUGUUGAUCAUUAGUCUUCGCUCAAUGUAAUCCGCUGUCUAAGCAUGUGGAGACUUCCAUGCAUGAUCUUGCUCUAUUGGAGUAUCGCGCAUGAAUAAAAGUGUAUCCAUUUAUGAUUUAGUCUAGAAUCUUCCAUGUAUGAUUUUUACUACAGUACUAGUGAAAGACUUAUGAUGAACCAUUUCUUACAUAUCCUCCGCCCCCUUCCAAGUCAUCCUGAUUUAAUCCCUCCGUCUAGGUGUAUAAGGGCAUGGUUAAUACUUAAAUAGUAUAGCCAACUGUUGACUAUAAGAAAGUGCCAUGUCAUCUGUAGCCAACAUGUAUAACAAUGGAUACUCAAAAACUAAUUCUUGAAGAUCAUUUCCUGCAAAGCACAAUAAGAUUUAUUUCUUCACAAGUUUUGGAUGCAGGUUGAAUAGUUGAACACUUUUGUUUGCAAAAGAUACUUUUUUUUAUCUAUUUCACCCGGAUGUUUGUGAGCUCUAGAGAUGAAAUAAUAUCCGAACAAACCUAUCGAUACCCGUUACACAUGAGAUGACCCCCACAUCCUUUGUCAAAAUAAACAACUCCCCGAUCAAUGCAUUUCACUCUUCCGUGCAAUGCACGGGCACCUUACUAUAGAUUAGUACGACCAAAAAUUGAACUAACAUUAUAUAUUGUACGAUAAAUGAUGAUGCAUGUCACCUAAAAUUAUAUCAUUGAAAACUAUGUUCAAAUACGAAUCCAACGAUAUUGUUUUUGUUGACAUGCACUAACAUUUUGUCAGUUAAAUCUACAGUCAAAUUCAAUGGGGGAUAAACCACGACCAAUGUAGUAGUACUAGUGUAGAGGGCGGCACUGCACGGGAGUCUCACCCCGCUCGUGGCGCGGCAGUAAAGCCGUCAUAUCACAAAACCCAACCACUCCGAGUAAUAAGUGGCCUGGUAAAAUAAACGGACAAGCAACCAUCACAUCCCUCCGUCUUUUUUGCAUUUCAUCUCUCUGCAUUUACUUUCUCCCGUUCAUCUCGCACACUCGAUCCCUAGCUACUACUCCUAGGGCCAGUUCUUUUGGCGGCUUCCCCAGCUUUUCCCAUAAGACUAGUCACAGUGGAGAGUAACAUUAAGGCGCCUCACUCAUUUAUUUGGGCUUCUAAACUACUACUAGUAGUACCUCCAUCCUGGUUUAUUCCUCACCAUUGUAAUUUGUGCUAAAUUUUCACCAAAGAUUUAACUGAUAAAAUGUUAGUGCAUGUGACAUGCACUGACAUUUCAUUAGUUAAAUUUAUGAUCAAAAUUUGACACAGAUUACAAUGGGCACCAAUAAACCAGGACGGAGGUAGUAGUUAUGGGAUUACUAAUCUAGAAGCCUAAAAGAACUGGCCCCUGGUACUCCUACUAGUAGUAGUACUCAAGUUGGAAAUCCCAAUUGCACGUCACAACUUGUUAGGGAAAAAAUUCGAUACAGGGUGUAGGAAGCGGUUUGGGAAUUUGCAUGCCUUUUCGACCAGUGAGAUACUCCGUACAAAGUACGACAGAGAAAUAACCACAGAGAAGGAAGCUAAAAGUAAACAAUCAAACGAGCAUUUUUGCAUUUGUUUUGCAUUGAACCGUUUCACAAGCUUGACUAGUGCUGUUUUUCUACUUUUACAAAAACCGCAUCGUAAUGUUAAAACGUGCAUUUGCACAUACAUAAGUAAUAGUAGUACUCCCUCCGUCUAGGUGUAUAAGUCUUCCCUCCUUCUUGCUCACGGUGCACAACCAAAGAUGACUUAUUGACCUGGACGGAGGGAGUAGCACAGUCUGCAAGCAUAUAUAGAGAGAGACGUGUAGUGUGAUAGUAUAUAGUAAAGUUUGUGCUAUAUGCACGUACUUGCAAAAUGCGUACGAAUACACAAGGUUUCCAAACUUUCCCUUUUACAUACUUAAUAAAGGAUGCUAAUAAUUCCUGGACGUUUGGGAUUUAUCAUUUGCGUCCCAAAACUAAUGAGACCGCCUUACGAAACAAAAAUUAUACUCCUACUAAAAGCCACGGCGCUCGCAGGAGCGCUUGCGGCGCGCCACGAGUGCCCUGGUGCGCGGCCGUUUCCCAGCGCGCCGACACAACGCCUCUUCCUCAGCCUCGCAACUCAUGAGGUGCUGAUUGGCGGCUUGCGGGAGGGCGAGCGCGAUCUCACCGGUGUGGUGAUCCGGCGCCAACAGGUACUCCUCCUUGCUGGAAGCGUGCACCCGGUCCAUGUAUCGCCAAGCGUAGAUGAGGCGCUUGGGCCCGACUGCACUCAGGGCGUCGACACGGGCGUCCUCCGCCACCCUCACGGCCCUCGCACGAGCCUUCUGCCAAAGAGCCAAUUGCCUGACAAUCUCGGACGCGACAUAGGCCUCCCAGGCAGCUCGUUCCGCGGUGCGCUUCUCUUCCUCGACCUUCUUCUCCGCCUCUAUUUUGGCGCGCUCUGCUGGAGGCAAAGCCUCCCACAAGGCGACAUCCAUUUCUUUCCAAAGCUCCUCAAGGCUGGGGGGCUCGGCGGGCGGCGCGACGUUCUCCUCGUAGCGGGGAGCCGACGCGUCCUCCGACACGUGUGCUGGCGAGAUUGGGAACGCCGACGCGUCCACCUCAACGCAUCAUGGCGAGGAGUGGAACGCCGACGCGUCCUCCUCGACUAGUGGCGGCGAGGAACGGAACGGCGACGCGUCGCGUCGCGGCGAGGAGCGGAACGCCGACGCGUCCUCCUCGACUAGUGGCGGCAAGGAACAGAACGGCGACGCAUGACCAUCUACGCGGUGCAGCGAGGGGCGCCUAGGGCUUGGGAGGGGCGAUGCCAUGGUGGUUGACGUGAGAGGGAGGGGGAGGAAAUAGCGAUGAACGUGAACGUGAGGGGGAGGAGAUAGCGAUGUCAUGGAGGCGCAGUAUUUAUAGUGAGCAAUGGCACACCUAUGUAAGAUAUGGACUGAGCUGCACUGACUUAACUGCAGGUCCAGUUGCGUCACUGACAUGUGGGCCAGACCCCUGUUGGGCCCAUAUGUCAGUGACCCAAUGCACCUGCAGUUAAGUAACAGCUACGUGGGCAUAUUUGUUGGAAUAAAUUACGGGGGAGGGAAGGGGUGGAAAUAUUGCUGGUCACAACAGAUUGGACGAGCGCAGGGGGAGGAGAGUCAUGCAUGCAGAUUUUUUCCACACGGGGUGGAGUGGUGGGACCGCCGGAGGGAGAAGGAGAGUCUGGCAGGCAUAUUUUUUCCAUACAUGGAGAGGAAAAUAUUUGGAGACGAACGGGCUUCCUGCAGGUAUGGGGAACAGUGCAUAAUAAGUCUCAUCUUGCAUGCCGGGCUAGGUAUAGUCUCAAGUCAUUAAAAACAUACACGCCCCACACAUGUUCAUAUUUCAAGGUGCACUAAAUUAUUGCAUGCGAUGAUUAAGGCUGGCCAUAAUGGUGGUAUCUUAGCUGGUAUCAUGCACACGGGAAUAGCAAACAUGCUGAUGUGGCAAAGAAUUAAAGAAGAGAGGGGGGUUAGAGUAACUAGUGUUCAUGCAUGCAUUGUGAAGAACUACAAAAACUAUUCCACCGCCUCUAUCUUGCUAAGAGUAGGUGAAAAUUUUGAAUCGAGCCCUUUAAACUAGAAGGGAGGUAGUAGUACUCUAAUAGCUAACCUUGGCCCUGUUUGGAUCCAUGUGUUAGAGUUAGUUUGGGUUAGUUUGAACUCAACUAACCCAAAAAAAUCUAACCCACCCAAGAGGUGCUUAUUUGGGUUACUCCCUCCGUCUAGGUGUGUAAGUCAUCUUACGUUGUGCACCGCGACCAAGGCGGAGAGGAAAACGAGAAAACUUAAUGUCUUUUUGCUAAUUAAUAGCAUUGCAUGCAAUGAACUAACCACUGCAUGUCAUGUUUGGCAGUCUCAAGUCAUUGAACGCAUGCACGGCUCACAUCUCUUAUUGGUUGAUAUGUCACAAAACAAGAAACGAGGAGGGAAUUAAUGUACGGUGCCUAAGUGUUUUGAGAUUAUUUGGUUUUCGUAAGGUGACUUACACACCUAGACGGAGGGAGUAGUUCUUCUCGGGACACUAAAAACACAUUUUUCUCUCGCUCUCCCCACAGCAGAUCCCUCCCCACUUCCUCGAAGCUUCUCGUCCUCUCCCUCCCUCCCUCCCUCGCGCACCGCCCAUGAAGGCACCUCGUUGUAUCCGCGCUCCAUCUAACCCUGUCAUCCAAACACCUCUUUCGCUAGAGUUACUUCAGGGUUAGUUCAUGAUUAGAAUCUUUAACUCAUCUAACUCAUCUAAUAGUAGUUCUUAUACUCAUUAUAAUCAGUAUUGUAGAUAUUGAUAUUUUUAGUAUAAAUUUGAUCAAACACUUUGCAAACGGUUGACGGAAGUAAAAAGGACCAGAGGGAGUAUCAUGCAUGCGGAGUAGGCAAAAAAAUUGCUCAUUUAUAGCCGGUCGAAGUCUCAAAGGGCGCGACCGCGCGAGGGAGGCGAAGGUCGUGGGAGGCGUGACGGUUGAUGGAAUUAAGUGAAGUUACCCACGCGCCGGCAUGGCGUGCGAACAGGCAGAAGCUAUACCGUCAGGCCUAGGAUAUGGGUCUAGUAGACAUGACAUCUAGUGGGUCCCGAAUAGUUCUCGAGAACUCUUUGGGGGCUUGCAGCCGUUUAUCCACCGGGCAAGCCAGCAACCCCACGCCGUUCGCACGCCCUACUCGUCCCCGUCUUCUACUAGUACAGUACCUUACAACAGUUUGCUCCCAGUCGUCCCGUCCUUUCACAGUACACCAGUUCAACUUCUCCUAACCCUCCUUCAAAAUCCAUGGCCUCCCAAAUCUCCAUGGUCGCCUCUGAGUACCAGGUUAGAGCCAUCACCGGCGAUGAGUUCUUCGUCAUCUACACACGUGGAUCCGUGACGGUGAAAGCAUGCCUUGCUCGCUUCCUACGCAUGUUCAACAGUUUGAACAUCUCCAAGUCGUUCACCUGUGGUCCUUCCGAUUUUCAUUACUGAAAACCAACAUCUAAAUUUAAACCAUAGUAUUUGCCCUAUAACUACCAGGUUCAACAUCUCGCAACAUAAACCCAUACAACUAUACGCCAAGGAGGUACGUAGUACUAUGAAUUCCAUUUUCGCUCCAUACCAAUCGUUCUAAAAACUACUUAGUACUUAUAACGCGCCAUUGAAAAUCGGAACUCUUAACCCCCCCUAAAAAAUGAUAUUUUAAACAUGGCUACUCGAUCUGUGGCAACUGGCGAGCCACCACCUCCAAGUCGUUCACCUGUGGUCCUGACCAUCAACUCCUACGGAUCAAAUUAUCACGCGAGCUGACUAUUCCUACAAAGGUGCGCUCCACCACGUACCCGGUACCCGCGAAUGCAGCAAUCGUGCACCUAGGGUUUUAGGGUUUAUUUGUUAACAUUGCCUUUACGUAACACUCGUGUGUGCGAGACAGCGAGAGACCGACUGCGUGCGUGCGCCUCUUCUCUUCGUAUAUGUACUCCAACGUUUGUCUGGUGUCCAAAAAAUUAUAAUAACUACUAGCAAUGUGACAAUGCGCUGCCACACGAUCUGAAUAGAUCAAUCAUAUUCACCGAUUUGGUAGAAAAAAGUCUAGUUUUGAAAUACGUAUAUCACUAAAAAAAUGUUAUGUUUCACUCAAAAUAUAUUCCUUUGGCGGUUUUGAUGAGAUAAGGGAGGAAUGUUGUUGGUUUCAAGAUUCGAGAAGUGGUAUAUGUCUAAUUUCUACUCUUACUAGCAAGAUGCCCGUGCAUUGCACGGAACAUCAAGAUCUUGUGGGAGAAAAGGAUGAACGAGGGAAGGCCUUAUCUGCAAAUGUGGAGAGGAGUGCGGGUAAAUUGCCAUAGUUUCGUUCCUAUCCGUCAGAUAUAAAUCGGACGGCCUAUAUUGCAGGAUGGCAGGCCCACCAUCAUCACCAACUCUAUUUUUUAUCCCUACUCUUAUAAAAAGCAUAGUCGGUGAUGAUCGUGUGCCUGCCAUCCUGCAAUAUAGGCCGUCCGAUCUAUAUCUGACGGAUAGGAAGGAAACUAUGGCAAUUUUGCAAAAAGAUACCCACACCCCUCUCCACACUUGCAAAUAAGGCCUUCCCUUGUUCAUCCUUUUCUCCCACAAGAUAAACAACUCAUACAGAUGCAUCUUCAUGUUCCGUGCAACGCAUGGGCAUCUUGCUAGUUGUUGCAAAAAGCCCAUGUGAGAGAGAGAGAGGGAGAGAGGAGGAGGACGGAGUGCAUGUGUGACAAAGACAUAAAGAGUGUGUGUGCGAGAGGUAUCAGCUUAAAAUGAGGCAGUAGUGUGUGUGUGCACGAUCGAGAGGGCGUGUCUCAAGAAGGGAAGAAAAAUCUACAUAGAUACAAGGAGCGGGAGAGAGACAUGUAUGCGAUAGUGGAAGCACGAGUGUGCGGGUGUAUAAACCUAUCUAGAGGCUAGUCGAUAAAUGUUUGUGAGAGAAAUACGAGUCGGGGUGCGAAAGCGAGAGUUUUGUGUGUGAGAGAGAGAGACGGUAGUCGGGAAGGGGAGUGGAAGCAGGAGUUGUGUGUGUGUGAGAGAGAGAGGGGGCGGGGAGUUUGUCUGAUCGGUAAACAAAUGAAUAAUGUCAGUCUGGGAUGGAGACGAAAAGGAGACCGCAACAAAUGUUGUGUCUACAGGAGAGAGAGAGAGAGAGAGAGAGUAAUUUUAGUGGUAUGAUUCAUAUCUAGAGACAUAUAGGGUGUGUGAGAGAAUCCCAUAGAGAGAAAGACAAAGUGAAAGACGAGUGCAGACUGUGUGUGUGGCGGUGAAAAAUAAAGCUUAGGUACCUAGUGAUACGAGAGAACGGUAGAGACGUGAGAGAUAAUGAAAACCGUGUAAUGUAUAAUGAUAGGGAGAGUGUGACACUUCUCAAGGGAGACGUCGAGAGACCAUGUUUGCGAGGAUAGGAGAAACAUGAAGUGAGCGUGCGGGUGAGCUGGAGAAAAGAGAGUGAUAGCUACAUGAAGGGGCAUGCAUGCAAGAGAGAUGGGCGUGAAAGGAGUGAACAUAAAAGGGAUUCAAAUAUUUCAAUUCGAGAUGAUGAUACAUGUAAUCCAUACUCGAACCAAAAUUGAUCUAUCAAACAUGCAUACUCAUAUGAAUUCACGCGCAUCUAUGUUAUUUAAUAUGUAGAUAUUACUGAUCCAUACAUUUUAGUAGAACAUAAUUUGGUUUAAUUUUUUGAAUUCAACCUUAUGAUUUUGAGAUCAUUGUAUUUGUAAAUCAUAUUAUACAUAUACAGGAGCAGAAUUCUUUGUUGUGCUUUUGAAAGUAUAUAUAAAAAAUGAUGUAUAUAGAAUUUUAUUCCAAUCGAAAAUGGAUCCCGCCCGAAAAAAAUAGAAUACAAACGGGAUUCGAAUUGAGUUGGCACGGUAAACGUGCACUCUGCAAAAUUUGAACGAAGCGGGGAAAGUCGCAGUAACCGCCCGAAACCAAAAUCUGCGAGAUGGAAAUUACUACUGCCUAUCCCUGCCACGCAAAGCCUAUCUGCUCGAUUUCUAUAGGUUUCGAUAGGGUUAGGUUUGUAAUUUCACUCAAACGUGACAUAACCGCCUCUCACCCGGAUUCAUACACGGUGGGCGCCAAAACACAGUGUGUCCUCGGCCGAAAUCGACUCCCUCCCCGAUUAAUACAUGGUGGGCGCCAAAAACAAACUCUCGUCGGCAAAUAUUCGGUGUAUGGGAGAUUAUCGUCCUAUCCCCAACCGACUAAUAUUGCUGUGAUGUAGGAAAUUUGAAACGGGGGCUAAGUUUGUAAAUUUCCUCGCAUUUGAGACAAGCGCGCCCUGAAGACAUGGUUCCCCCCUUCCUCUCCACCUCCAUCUCCCCAUUCGUACUCCGUGGGCGCCAAAACACCCUCUCCACCCCAGCCUCCUCCGUCCGCCACCCCAUCCACCGCCGUCCUCCUCCACCAUGCCGGAGCUGAUACCCCGACGCCGCCGUCCAUUACAAGAGAUCGACCUCUCUCAUCCACGGCUUCGGACCGGGAUCCUUGCAUCCCGUCCUCUCGCUUCAUCCCCGCCGUCGUCCACCUUGCCGGCGCCGCUCCUACGACCGUCUCGUCCACUGCGCCCCGCAGCCGCCGUCUACCCUCCUAGAUCCGCUUCCACGCCACCGACAGCCAUCGCUACCGCAGCACCGUCAAAUUCUGAGCAGAUGCAUACACGGCGCCGCACCAGAGGCGGUACUCUUUCGUAUCUGCUCAACUUAUUUAUCGCAGCAAGAAAAUAGAUCGCCACUGCUUUACUCCUAUUUCUUGUCCAUCACUUACUUUCUAGUUGAGAGCAAACAUUGGUUGAGAAGUUGCCUUUGUCCGGUUUGCACCUUCAGAUCCGCCAUGGCACGCUCAACACUAUACUCCCAAUGCUUAUGGUUUUCCCCUUUUAUAUUCCACACUAGUUAAAUCACAGUAGACUAAAUUUCAAAAUUGGGUCAGUCGAUUUUUUCAGAGCUCGCCGGAGUUCGCCGGUGCGAACGAAGGGGCUUGGGUGGGGACUUUGGUUGUGGGGGGCGGUGGUGGGGCCUCGCCGAACGAAGAAAACUCGACGCGGGUGGGGGUGGCGGAGGAACACAGGCGGUGGGGGGCGAUGGUCCGGCCGGUGGCCCGUGCGGUUUUCUGUAUGGGAAGAAUCAGAGACGAGGAAGAAGAAGGGUUAGGAGACGUAGGAUCUUCAUCCAACCGCCUGAAAUGGUCGACUGACCCAAAUGCAGACAUGCCUUUAUAUUCAGUACCAUCAUCGUACCUGCUUAGCACUGCUCCUGAAUCCAUCAAACUAAACAACGUGCCACUCAUAAUUCCAAACUUGUUGCUCAAGAACGAAUCUGAUAUGAUGCUGAUAUUACUAAAAUAGAUAACAUUUAACUCGUCAGCUAAUGUUCCUACUUUACUUUCAAAAAAGCACGUGCACCACAUAUAGAGAGACAACAGGGAGUUGCUUUCUUAAUGCGCUCUGGUUCAUCAUGUGUGGGCACUGCGCAACAAACAUUUUAUUAUCCAAAAUCUGCUUGCUCUUCUUUAGCAUGUUCCUAAAUACAAGUCUUUGUAUAGAUUCCACCAUGGACUACAUAUGGAGCAAAAUGAGUGAAUCUACACUCUAAAAUGUAUCUGGAUACAUCUGUAUGUGAUCCAUGGUGGAAAUCUCUACCAAGACUUAUAUUUUGGAACGAAGGGAGUAUGAUAGUAGUACAGUAUGUUCCUUGUAGUGAAGAUGAGCAGGGACAUUUGCAGUGUAGAGGUCUAUACGGUCGGUUGGUAUGGACACUUUGAACUCUUCGGGCCUCUUUGAUUCGUAGGAUUUUGUAAACAUGGGAAUAGGAUUUGUAGUGGCCUGCCCACUUGAAUCCUAUAAGAAUAGCAAGGAAAUGUGAGGAGCUGUGUCGCCUUUGAGAGUUACACUGAUAUUAACAGUACCGCACCUUCAUUUGAAGAGAGCUCGUAUUCGAAGCCUUUCUAGCCGUACCGGCAAUACUAGCACAUAUAUUCCAGCAAGUUCCACUUUGCUAAUUUUACUCUGAUGCUUACGGUUUUCCCGUUAUAUAUACACUAUGAUCUGUGUAGCUGCUUUGUGUCGCACUAGCAGCAGUCCACUCUUGAAGCUAAACACUGCAAUGACUUACAAAAUUGGCACCAAGGCAUUGAGUGCCAUUCUGGAUGCAAUGAAACUCAUAAGCUCCCCACCUGUUGACUCUUGUUCAGAAUAUGAUCCUAAUGACUCCUGUUCAAAAUUGCCACAUAUAGAGAGACAGCAUGGAAUUGCAUUUCUUUGGGCGCUGUGAUUCAUCAUGAGUGGGCAACCAACAUUGUAUGCAAUUAAGCGGAACCUCAAGAAUAUGCUUCCUCUUCUGUUCUUUAACAUGUUCCUCUUUUGUUAUUCUGUAUUUAGUACGUACAGUAUGUUCCUUGUCAGGAAGGGGAGUAGGGACAUCUGCAGUCAACAGCUGAUAGAGCUGGCAUGUACUUGAUUGAUAGGCUUUCAAUUACUAGCGGCAAUACAACACCAUAUUUUCAAGCCAGUUCCACUUUCCCGAUUUAUAUAUCGUGGUUAUGGUGUACCCCUUUUAUGUACACUAUGAUCUGCCUAGUUGUUGUGUGCUCUUGUUAUCAUGGUUUGGCAAUAAACUCUCUAUACAAUAUAUUUUGAACCUAUCAUCUGCCAACUAUCCUUACUUAUGGAGCCUAUUUUUUGUGUACUUGUGCCAGAUUAUAUAAAUGCACGCACCAUAUUACAGCACACAUGAGCUCUCUCAUCAGAAUCCAGUGAUAGCACACAAGUGUUUACAGGGGCACCCCUAUAUUAGAAUAUCCUCUGCAUUACAAAGUUAAUCUCACAACUAUUUAUGUUUUCAUGGUUCUCAGAUAUUAUACGUAAUUACAGUGAAUAUCUGAAUCCGCGCAUCAGAAGAAUAUUGUGGAACACUGCAAUGACUUACAAAAUUGGCACCAAGGCAUCGAGUGCCAUUCUGGAUGCAAUGAAACUCAUACGCUCCCCACCUGUAGAUUCUUGUUCAGAAUAUGAUCCUAAUGACUAUUCUAACCUCGAGGAGUCAAAGGCAGAUGGCCUGUCAUGUUCACCCAUCAAGGUGCCUGCUCUAAUUUGGCAAGGUUUUAUUGAUUGCGCGUAUCUUGCAUAUGUUGUCUUGCAUUUCUUCUACUUUGUUGCACCGCCAUCUGCUUAGUUUACUCAUCAUAUAUGUCGAGAUGCCAUGCCCAUCCAUUAUCAAUACAUAUUCCAUCUAUCAUCAUACCAUGUUUUUCCACUCAAAUGUUGUUCUUGUGCAUCAGACAUCAAAAAGGAAGAGGGUGAUUGCCGAACCUGAAGGAGCACCAGCAAAGUCCUUGAAAAACGUGGUUGUGCCGGAGAAAUCAGACAGCACCCCACUUAUAUUGGUUGUACAACCAGUGACACAAAACGUAGGACCGACUCCAGCAGACUGUACCCAUACUUCACUGGCCACACCACUAGCCCCACCACACAGGACCUGCACUCCAGCAAAAGGUAUGCAGAUUUCAAUUGCCAUAGCACCAGCCGUACCACAGAAAAAUCCCACUCCAGCAAAAAGUACAGCAAGCCCACCGGCCGAAGACCUAUCCCAACUGCAGAGACGGCCAAUUCCUGCAGAUUGGAACCCCAUUCCAGUUAUUCCCAGUUUAAAAGACAAUGCUUUCAAAGUUGUUAGGGACUACGUGCAUAUAUUCCCAUCAUUAGAAGAUUAUAGUGAAGACAAACACCAUUUUCACAUCUUCCUGUCCCAGUUACGUGUAAGUGCUAUUACUCAUGGUGAUUAUUUUCCUGUUUUCUGCUGAUUGAACACAUCAAUGAUUUACAUUACAUUGUUGUAAGUAGGUGAGGGUCAAUCUGGAUAGUCAUGACGAGCAAAGCUUGCUUGCGCUUUUCAAGGAAGCAUUGCAGCAGUAUUGGUGUUACCUGAGGAAAUCACACUUUGAUGGCAAGUCUAUAAACGAAUUUCUGGUGAAGUCUCAUGUGCUAAAUUUAGAAGACAUUGAAUGGAAAAACCUUGUUAUGCACUGGUCUUGUUCCGAGGAUGAGGUACUGUCUAUGAUGUCGCAUGACAAUUUGAACUUCUACUUUUCCGCAUGUGCCUUACGGAUCUUUUUUGCAGGAAAUCUGCUCGAAAAAGAAUUCCGGUUUGAAAAGAACGACAGGAUAUCGCAAAUAUGCUGCCCGCUACUUUGCUCUUGUUAGUACCUGUUGUCUUGUAUCACUGUACUUGCAUACAUACCUGGUUCAUUAUGUGACAGCAGUAUGCAUGAUAGCUUGCUUAUCAAUUGUUCGCUCCAAAUUAUCUGAUCUGUAUGAAUGGUUACAUUAGUGUAGAAUAUAUCCAAUGCCAAUGAAAUUUUUUAGCUCUGCGUUGUUCUUGUAAGUACCUGCUGUCCUUAUCAAUGUACUUAUAUUGACAGGUAGUUGUUCAUGUACCAUCACUCUGCAGCUUAUUUUCCUUUGCCCUCCAUUUUCUACACAUAAGAUCUAUAUUUACUCUUACCAUAAGGUUGGAUAACACCGAUGGUACUGAAGAAGUUUAGCUCUACAUUGCUCUUGGCUGUACCUUCUACCUGUAUCGUCGUACUUACAUUUAUAGCUUUGGUUAUGUAGCAUCACUCUUCAUCUUAUCUUAAAUAUUCUCCAUUUUUUCUUAUAUUGUCACAUCUAUAUUUACUCUUAACAAAAUGUAGAAUAAAGGCAAUGCUUAUGAAGAAGAUUCUGUGGUAAACUUCUUGAAUUCCCCCCCCCCCAUCAGCAUGGACAAGGGCUUUAUAGAGCCUGCCUUCACCAAUAAUGUAAGUUUGUCCUUCUCAAGCCUUCAAACUUUGUUGUGUAUAUUUGGUUAGGCAUGACUGCAACAGCUGUUUAUUUUUGGUGUUUGCAUCAAAUUGCGUGUUUAAAGUUUAUUAUGUACUCCAGUUCAUAAACAAAAGUUUGUCCUUCUCAAUUUAAGUUUUCAGUUGUACGACCAAGUUCCUUCUUCAUACCAUGUAAAUUAAACUAUACAGAGCAAGUGAUCUUAUUUUGCCAAUCUGAAAUGGGAUAAAUUAACAGCACACUAACCAUUGAUACUUAUGAGUUCUUGAUCUGUAAUCCAGUGGUGUCGUGAAGCUGCCAACUCCUUCACAAUGUCAUUUCCUGCCAUGUCUUGACCUGAACAAUACCAUAUUGUGUUAAUGCUAUUUUAAAUUGUGUCACUUUAUUCCUCAGUAAGAAAUGUGAUGAAUUGUCAGCACUGAUACUUAUAUGUGCAAAACCUGUCAUCUGUCUGCUUGUUUAUCUUUCAGAGUGAGGAGAAUAUAAGUGUCAAACAAGUGCAGUCUCACCAGCUUGCUCAGCUGCUUGCGCUGCAGCUCCCGAGCAGGGCUAACCUUUCUUGAACUCUAUUGAAGUGCUGUCGGUUUUGUAUAUUAUUUUGUCGGCAUGUUUAGUUGCACUGGUGGCGAUCUUUGAUGCCCAGUGUAUGUAAUCUGCUGUCUGCUUGUGCUUUAUUAUCAUAGUGGCGAACUUUGAUGCCCAGUGGAUGUAAUAUGUCGUAAUUUCUUUAUUGUAUAGUUUAGGUUUUUUUCUUAUUCAUGAUGCUGCAGUUAUUUUACUGUAUAUAUAUCCUAUCUUCGCAGUAAACCGGCCAAACCGCCGUCAUGCAAAUCACAUGUAUGAUCCGCAUCAUGGGCCCCGUCAUCUUGGUCCGUUAACAGGCCUAAAUGUAAACUGGCCCACUAGUAGAUCCAGGCCUUUAAUAGGCCAAGUAAAUCGUCGGCCCUAUUUUCCCAAGAAAACUCAAUGGGCCUUUAGGAGGCUGAAAAGUAGGUUGGGCCUGAAACGUGCCGAACAGCUCACGGGCCGGCAGCAGGCCGAAAUAGACCCCGGCCCAUGAAUGUGCCAAUCAAAUCAUGGGCUUAUAACAUGCCAAAAUUGUCUCGGUCCUUGUUUGGCCCAAUCAGAUUAUCGGCUGCGAGCAGGCCGGAUGCAAACCGGGCCAUAGUUAGGCCCAACUAUAUGACGGGCUUUUAACAGGCCAAAAUUAAUAUAGGGCCGAAAUGUUAAACGGGCCCUUAACAGGCCGAAACUAAUAUCAGGCCGAAUUACUAAAUGGGCCUUUAGCAAGUGGGCCCAAAAGCAUAGCGUCCAGUUGACGGCCGAAUCUGAUAUGGGCCAUAAUUUAGCCCAAAGCCUCUUAAAGGGUCGGACCUGAUCUGGGCCGUAAUUUGGCCCAGAACAUGGUAGGCUUUUAACGGGCCGAAUCUCAUAUGGGCCAUUAUUAGGCCCGGAACGUGGCAGCCAGUUAAUGGGCCGGCCUACUAGGGUCCUCAAAAUCUUGUGGGCCUACAGCUGGGCCGGCCCAUUAAUGCCGGUGAAAUCUCGUGGGCCUUUAGUUGGGCCGGCCCAUUAUGGUCCACAAAAAUCUUCUGGGCCUUCACCUGGGCCGGUCCGUUAUGGCCCGCAAAAAUCUUGUGGGCCUUUACCUGGGCCGGCCCAUUAUGGCCCGCAAAAUCUUGUGGGCCUUUAGCUGGGCCGACUCAUUAUAGUCCGCAAAAUCUUGUGGGCCUUUAGUUGGGCCGGCCCAUUUAAACUUUAUGCGCCACUUUUGGGCCGGUCCACGUGUUAACAUAUCAUAGGCGCAUCUCGCCCAUUGGAUGAGUGACACAUAUGCCAACGCGGAGCUGACACGUGUUUCCUACAGCCAAUGAUGAUUUUACAUGUGGAAAAUCCCCAUUGCUCCGGGCUGUUAACGGGUUAUCGGAUCCAAAACCAGACCCGAUAGCUUAACGGCAUUCCGUUACGGUGGAUGCCACGUGUCGGUCACCCUUGACGAAAGCACUUCUAUGACGCGCGAUUUAUCAUCAUGGAAAUGGACCCUUCCGUGAUGAUAAUUUUGGUAAUGUCAUGGAACACUUCUACGACAGCACAGGUAUGACUAUCUUGAUUCUGUCAUAAAUUUGUCAUGGAUGUACAUGCAUGACAGAAAACGUGACCUACUGUGACAAACACGUAUCAUCACGGAAGUGUAUUUUUUGUAGUGAUAGGAACCACCGGACUGUCAAGUGGGGUCUAAGUGAACAAAAUCAGAAAACGGAUGUGAUGCUCAACCCAAAUCCUAUGUCUUUGAGUGAAGACAAUGAGAGAAAACCUUAUCCAAAGUCGGAUGAGUUAGCUUUUACUUGUAGCCCAAGUCAAGCAGCCGCGUGUGUUUGAAAUCCAACUGUUGGACGCAUGUCGGUUCCUUAGUGACCCAGGGUCAUUUGGGACAUAUCAUGUCGGGUUGCCUCCGGGCUAUAAAUAGCCCACCCCCUACACCAUAAAUUGGUGGCUGCUCAGAGUUAUUGCAUGGCUUUUGUCAUUUGAGAGCAACCCACCUUCAAAGCCUUUGAGAGAGAAUCCUCGCGAGGACAAAACCCAAAACACCCAAAGCCCAAAGAGUGUUUUGCAUCACUGAAGUCUUUAUGUCUGCGUGAUCUGAAGACUUAUUACACUCGAAGACUGUGAUCUUCCAGUCGGUUAGCCAUCGCGUUCUGAGGAUCCAAGAGUCAUUGUGGAUCGCCGGUGAACGAAGUCUGUGAAGGUUUGGAAGUCUACCUUGAAGACUUACCAGAGUGAUUGGGCGAGGACUAAGUGUCCUUAGCUCAAGGGGAAUAAGGUGAAGACGUGGUCUUCUGUGUUUAAUCUCAGCCUCCCUAACCAGACGUAUAGUUGUCACAGCAACUGGAACUAGUCUAUCAAAUCCUUGUCUUUCUCAAGCAACUGGUUCUAUCACUUUACCCUUUACUUACAGUUUAGCUUCGUGAAGUCAUUUCUUGCCUGCUCUGUUUGACCUCACUGUGUGAAGACAUUCUCUCUGUUAGCAUAUUUGGCUUCAUAUUAUCUUCCAAUUCCGACUUCUUGUACCUAGCUGCUAUUUGUCUUCGUGCUUAAUCUGUUAUGACUAUUUGACUAUGGCAAAGCUAGUGUAGUUUAUCUUUCGCUGCAUACUGUGUAGGUGUUGUUUGCUUGCUUGUCUUCGAAGACAUUGCUUGUCUUGAAGACUUUCAUAAAAUUCGCCUAUUCACCCCCCUCUAGUCGAUAACUAGCACUUUCAUUCUCCCCCUUUUUGACAUCGAAUGACCAAAAAGGAAUGAAGACAUAGGGUGUCUAAGCGUUUCGGAAGGCGGUUGUGAAGAUGUUGGUGCAGCCGGGUCGACGUUGGAGUUGGGCGGUGUAGUACGGCCUGGCGUAGUGUCGAUGUGCAGUGAAGCCAUAGCUGGUGAAGUGGCGUCGUCUUCCUCAUCAAUCGCACGUGCAUGAACUGUUGGUGCAGAUGAUGAGUACUCGGAAUCUGCAAUGGAAGGUGUAGCAUGCCACUUAUCAGAUUCUGGGGGCUUGGAGCCAAACUUGAAGUUCUCCUUGAAGCCAUCGGCAACAAGAUUGUCUUCAGAGCAUAGCAAUGUGAGGCUCUUCCAAGCACGUCUGUUGGCUUCAUGUGCAACAAAAUCAUUCUUGGUGGAGAGGUUGUGGAUACGAUUGACAUCACCAAGGAGGCUCUUCAUCUGGCGCUUCAUCUAGUCAUGAUGCUUAUCUUGCUUCUGAUGAAGAGAAACAAGAAGCUCUCUGUCAGUCAUCACUCUUGGGUGCUUCUAAGGCCUUUGUGGAACUGUGCUGGUAGUGGCUUCAGUGUUAGCUUGAUGUGGAAGUCAAAUCUGACCAGCAAGUCUAGAGGUUGAGGCCACAUUAGGAAGAUGAAUGGCUUCCAUAUGCGCAAAGUGGCUUCGCUCCACAAGUCUUGAAUUUUUAUCCGCCGAAGGAUAAAUGACUUCAUGAGGAGCAUAGACUUCAGGCAGGAAGAUGUGAUGCAUACAGCCAGAGGGUUCAUAUUGCACAGUUGAGCGGGGUCUUGAUAAGGCGCAUGAUCCAUGGGGUGUAGAACUUGAGGCCAAAGAGGUCCAUGCCAGAAGCUGCAAGUUGCCCGAUGAAGAAAUCAUGCAUGUUGAAUCUUAUGCCAUUGACGACAUAGUAGACCAAUGUCUUCAUAGUUCCUUGAAGCUGGGCUGAAGAUGAAUGCCCUUUGACUGUCCAUAGAGUAUGCCGAAGAAUGUGAUAAAUUGUGCGAGGCAGGUACUCAAGGUCUUGGACAAAGAAGGCAGUGGGGUAUUCAGGUUCAACUAGUAAUGGCUUCAUCAUGGUGAGCAUUUCGGUCAUAUUUGGCUCAGGCUUCUGGAAGAUGCUCUCAACUUCCCUUUCAUAAGCAGCACAACCUGGAUUAUAGUUAUCUCUAAGAGUGGGCAGGUUGGUUAGCUUAAGAAGCUCUCGAGCAUGAGCGGUGUGAUGCACAUCUCCUGUCAUCCACUCAAGAACCCAAAUAUUUGGAUCCCUGUUAUAGCCUGAAAUGUGAAGUGUUGCAUAGAAUUGGAGAAUCAAAUCCUCGUUCCAGUGUUCCUUGUUAAGGACAAAGGGCAACAAUCCAACAUCUCGAAAGCAUUCCAAUGCUUGAUCAAAGAAUGGCAGAUCAGUCAUGGCUUCUAGAUCGAGACGCCUAUGAGGAUGAAUCCUAUCUUGGUUGUAUUGCACACAUGUGUAAUAGCUUUGCUGCAGAUGACUCCAGAACCGAUCAAAUGAGAUUGAUGGAUUCUUGUACGGUUUCUUGGUGCUGUCUAAGAAAGUGUUGUGCUCUAUGAAGCUGAGCACACUGAAGGUGCAGUCCGUAGAAGCAGUACUGCGAAGCCUGGGCAGUCAAGGCAUUGGCUUAUGUGUUUGUGGCCUGUUAUUGACAUUGAAUUCGUAUUGGGGUCCAGGUACUUCAGGAGGGACAAGGUUUGGCCAUGGAACACGCACCAGUAGGACUUCGGGCCCAGAUUUUUCUUCAGCGAUGAUAAGGCCAUCAUUUGUCUUUGGCUGACUGUCGUCUCCAUCCACAUGAGCUUCAGUGGCUUCAUGCUGAGCAUUGUCUUCAGCCACAUGGGCUUCAGUCACAUCGGCUUCAGCAGCAGGAGUGGCAGACAGUGUGACUUCAUAUUGGACAGGCUCAAGGGCAGUAAUUGCAGUAGCGACAUCUUGAUUGUCAUCGGCUGAUGCUGCCGGAAUAUCUUUAGCCUUUUUGGCUUCAGACUCGGUGGUAGUACAUGAAGGGAUGGCUUUAGGAAAUACUUCACGUGCAACAGAACUUGCAGGUUGCACAUACUCUUCAGGUAUACUGGACAUGGAGGAGGAGGGCCUCGGGCCUUUGUGAAGCCUUUGGAACAUAGGUGAUGUUGUUGUCAUCUCCAUGUCAUCAGGGGUGCCUUGAGGGGUCUCAAGGACGGGUGUUGUUACUUGAGGCGGUGGUGUAUGAGGAAUCACUUCAUGCAGUGGGGUGUUGGGGUGCCGCUCUUCCCAGAACUCAUCUUGGACCAUUGGCGUCGGAGGAUUGCCAAUGCUGAUGGGCUCACUGUUUGUUGGAACAGGCGAUGAUACCACAUUAUGGGUGAUUUGAGGAAGGACUUCAUCAUCUUCUUUUCUCAGAUUGUCAUCAUAACCAAUGUCUUCAGCCACGAUGGAGUUCAGUGGCUGGAAUAUCUUCAGUGACAUGAGCCUCUGUGGGAGCAGGUUCGUGCACGACCAUUCUUCUUUCUUGGUUGGUGGAGGCAGGGAGAGCAACAGAAACGGGCUUCACAAGCAGCAGCUCCUGGGGAGCAUAUGGAGAAGUAGGUGCCUGUGCCCUGCGCGAAGCCUUUGACGACUUCGUCUUUUGCCGCUUCUUAGAAGGUGAGGCAUCAGAAGCUUCAUGUUGCUUGUGCUUCUUGGCUUUGGCUUCGGCUUGCUUAGUCCUCUUCCUAUUGGAGGCAACUGAUGGAGCAGAUGGCUUCGGACCAACAAAUCUUGGUGGGAAGAUAAUCUUAGGCACAUCUAGCCUAGACAUUUCAGUAGCAGGAGAGGUUAGCUUCUUCUUCUUCUUGACUGGCUUGGGGUCAAUAGCAGGACAGCCAAGAGCAGUUCUCUUCAAGCCUUCAUUGUGAGCUUGCACACAUUUUUCCGCAUAGUGUUCCAGGCGGUCUCGAGAUGCAUUUGCAUCAUCACGACGCCUUUGAAAUUCGGCUUUCAGAUCAGCCAUCGUCGUCUUGAAGCUUUGGAUUUCAGUGGCGCUGAGCUUGGCCAUAUGCUUCUUGAAGACAGUCUUCUCAUGAUCGAUCUUGUUCUUCUGCUCAAUCACUUUCUGAGUAAUAGCUAGUUCCUUUGCAACGAAACCUUGGAAGGUGACACUGAUGCCAAUAAGCAGCUGAAUAUCAUCAAGAGAAAGGGAUGGAUCUUGAAACCAUUCAUCAAUGAAGUUGUUCAGAAUGUCAGAAUUGAACAAAGGCAUGUCCUUGAAGAUGUUAGCUUCUUCCUGAUUGUUCUUGAUUAGUAGCUCCAGAGCAUCAUCAGCAAGAUCAUCAUCACUGGACAGAUCUAUGAUGUCAUCAUCAUCUGGCAAUAUGCUUGAUGGUGUAGGGCCUCGCCCUUUGGAUUUCUUAGUACUCGGAGAAUUCCUAGACAUAUCUUUAGAAUGCACACUGGAUUCAAGAGGUGCAAUUUUCAAUGGCUUCACUCUUGAAGCUUUUGGUGCAGUGACAACCUUUGAAGCCUUUGCUUUCUUGGCAGGCUUCGGUAACUCAGGGGCGGCAAUUUGUUGCACCCCUUUUCGGGCGGCUUCCGCACUUGCUCUGAGUUCAGCAUAGUGCUCAAGAUAUGCUGUGAAGUCAUUGAAUGGGCCAACCAGGUUUGGUUCGGCCUGGCGAGUGCCAUCUGGCCUUGGUGCAGCUGGACCAGGGUUGAAGUCAAUCCCAUAGUCUUUCUUUCUUUGAGCAGCAGAGCCCCUUGCAAACUGAUAGUUGGCUUUAAAGAGAUCAUCCUCACAGCACCACCAUAUGCUGGAUGGAUCAGGAUUUUGAGGCAUUUCACGUCUCACCAUGCAUGGGUACAAGCCUAACCUGAUGGCGUCAGCCUUUGUCUUCGAGAUUAGCUUCUUUUAGACAAUACCGGCCCAUGGUGGCCUCAAAGCAUUCUUCGCAGCAUACUCGGGGGUUACAAAUUGAUAAUGAAACCAUUUCUCCUCCUAGUAUCUACGAAUCCAUUGCACUCGUGAUUUGCAUUCCCUAUAUGUUUCCUCUGGAUCUGACUUGUACAUCUCAUACAGAUCAGUAGGCAGAUCAAGAGCAGUGUUUUCAUGAUGUUGUCUUCCCCCUUUCUUUGUAGAUUUACCACUAGACAUUGGCUUCACAAAACUGAUUGGCUUCGCUUUGCUGGUAAGACAUGAACUGGUUUUAGGAGAGUCAAGAUGAAGCUGUAAGAAGUCUGCAAAUGAAUUUAGACUAUGAGAACCAAGAGACUCGCCCACGGACAUGUACCUGUGAAAGAAUUAGAGAUGUGAGGGAAGAAGGAGAGGUCGUAUGCAUUCUUAGAGGAUUUUGAAGUUAAAAUUAGUUUGAAGAUAAUGACCUGAUAGUCCGUAGACAUUCACUUAUAGAAAGAGGUUGGUUCCAGAUUUGUACGAAUCUAAAAAUAAGUACAACUAAGGAAUCAUACUCGUCAUGAAUCAUAAGUGAAAUAACUUUGCAUGUUUAUGAGAUACAAAAGAUUGAAGAUAAAGAUUUGGGAGUGGAAGAACAACUUCUGAAGAUAUUUGAAAAACUAUCGGAUCUAACGAACGGUAAAAAGUGAGAUUUAUCUACCACACAAAGAACAAACGAUGAACUUCUAGAUGAGGCGAGAAGGAGGCCGAGCAGUUCAAUCUCCCGCACCCUAACUUGGUGGUGGAAGACAGCUACGGCGGCGGCGGGGCGAGGAUGUCUGUGGCCGGCGUGAAUACGACAACGAAGAAGUCGCGACAGCUAAGCACUUCUCUGGCAAUGAUGGAAGCUAGCGAUGACGCUAGGGUUGCGGGGGCAAGAGUGACAGGUAUGGAAGUAUUUAAUGACCACGGGGCAAAAUAUUUAUGAGGAGUUCGACGCGAUGAAUUUAUGGUGCUGCCCCCGGCGGUUCGCAUUCGCAGGACGCGUGGCCUGCAUGCGUAGUUUCUACAGGCGUGCCACGACCCCACCACAUAGCUGUUUUGGGGGGAGGUCAUUCGAGCUUCUGCGGUGUCCGGCAAAAUGGAUAAGGAUAUAAAAACAUUUUAAAUGUUGGUCUCAAAAUCUUUGAUUGACAAGGACACAGUGAAGAUCAUCGUCACGUGUCAAAAGAAUGCAUAUGAAGAUUAAUAGAGAGUAGGAGAGAUAAGCACAGAUGGGAUAAGGGUCCGAUCACAUUCACUUAGCACAGAGAAAAGCAACUUGAAGACAUAGCUAUAAGUGAAUGCUGUUGAGGACAAACACACACACACAUAAUAUAUAUAUAUAUAUAUAUAUAUAUAUCAUAAUAUAUAUAUGUAUGUAUAUAUAUAUACACACAUACAUAAACACUAUUCUGAUCACAACUUGAACUUCCUGAGUUACAGGCCUGAACUUCCCUCUAUAGGAACCCGACCUUCGGGCUAUCUUCGCAACCGUGUCUCCCCGCGUGAAUUAUUCUGGUUAGUCAUGUUCUAUAUGAUGUUAGUGUAAUGUAGAAACAUUUUUUAGCAACUAAAUACCCGUUUUAAAUAGGAGUCUCGCUCAUUGGCGGAUUUUGCUCUCGGGUCGUGAUGAAAUUGCGUUUUUUACAAUUUUACUGCCUGAGUUGUUCGACCAGAACUUCUUCGAGUGCUAGGUUGAACUUCCGCCAACAUUGCCCAAAUGGGGCUUGCGAUAUACCGUUGGAAAGCUAUGGACACCAGUAUCAUCACCCAAGUUAAAUAUUUGGCAAAAUGUAAGCAGUUUUGAAAAUUGUUUUUUCUUCAAACAAAAAACGUGAAUCGUAUUUUCGAUUGCAUUUCUAAACCGUUUAUCGGACUGAGACAAAUAAUAUGGCGUUGGAAAGCUGCUGUACAACCGCUUCUUCCACAUGUUGAAAGUUUUCUCUAAUUCCUUAUGAUUAAAGAGUAAUUUGAAAAAUCGUAAAAUUUUGCAAACCGAACAGCCGAGUUUGAUAUGGCGUUUGAAAGCUUAUGAAAAUGCGCUACUUUCUCUUGUUGAAAGUUUUUUCUAAUUUGCAACGGUUUAAAAGUAAUUUAGAAAACGGUAUAAGUUCCACCGAGUUCAUAUUUUCGAGCUAAUUUUUUAACCUUAUGUCCGAAUGCAGCAAAUGAUAUGGCAUUGGAAAGCUUGAAGAAAUGCAAAACUUUUUGGUAUAUAUUAUUUUCCCAAUUCAUUAUGGUUUUACGUCAAUUUCGAAAAUGGCUACAAACGUAUUUUUGCUGUAAUUUUUACAACUUUUAUCGAAAUGGGGCAAAUAAUAUACCGUUGAAAAGCUACGAAAAAUGUGAAACUUUUUCAUGUUGAUGGUUUUCUCUGAUUCCUAGCCGUUUUCAAGUAAUUUCAAAAACAGCGGGAUCAUUCGUUUUGCCUUUAUCGCGAAACAGAUUUUUCAAAAAUGCAACGCGUGAAGAACUUGAACUUCUCGGCAUGUUUACUUGAACUUCACUCUGUUUUUCACGUUCUUUUUUUACUCGUAGCUCUCCAUCCACUCACCGGAAUUGAGCAAGUGAUAUACCGGUGAAAGCUGCUGUAAACACGCAACUUUCCCGUGUUGAUCGUUUUUUCAUACUCGCGACGAUUUUAAAAGUUUUUCAUCUAAAAUUCAUUCACUAUAGUAGUUGAACUUCCUGUUGUUUUCACGUUGAACUUUUGUGACGUAUUUUUGUUUGUAAUUUUCUCAUCCAUUCGUUAGUGUUACACAAAUGAUAUUCCUUUUAUACAAACCACUCUCAAAUAAAUUUUUUAACUUUCUCUAACGGAGGACUUGAACUUAUAACAACAACAAAAUUAGCCUUUGCUUUUUAAUUCUUUUUAAAUACAAAUGCACACCGUGUAGUACGUGAACUUCUAGCAUUUAUCAAUCAACUUCUCUCGGUUACGUCAAAAUAUCUUAGUUUUUUUAUGAAUUUUUAAUCUGAUUUUCUUAAUCUUUCUUUAUGAAAUUUUGAAGCGCUCUAUUUUUAAAAGUUGAACUUCUUGUUUUUUAUUUUUGAACUUCUUGUUUCCAUUGUUUAAUAACGAGGAAAAUCUGAGUUUUCUAUAAUCAUCGAACUUCUCCAUCUUUUUAAUAUGGACUUCCUGGUUUUUUUCUUAAUCUUUUUUAUGAAAUUUUGAAGCGCUCUAUUUUUUUAAAGUUGAACUUCUUGUUAUUUAAUUUUUGAACUUCUUAUUUUCCAUUCUUUAAUAACGAGGGAAAUCUGAGUUUUCUAUAAUCAUCGAACUUCUUCAUCUUUCUAAUUUGGACUUCCUCAUUUUAUUUCUUUUAGUAACGGAAAAAAUCCUACUUUUUGAUAGACAUCGAGCCCCUUCGUUAAAUUUGAACUUCUAGGUUUAUUUUAAUAGAACUUCUUCAUUUUUUUGAAUAAAACUUAUUGGUCUUAUUCUUUAGUAACCGGAAAAAAUUGAGUUUUUAAAUAAAUAUCAAACUGCUCUGCUUUUAAAAAUUGAACUUCUUGGUUUUAUUAUUUAGUAACAAGAAAAAAUUGAGUUUUUAAUAUGCAUUGAACUACUUCAUUUUUUUAAUUCAACUUCUUUGUUUUUAUCUUUAGUAUUGGGGAAAAUGCCCAAAAUGACAUUAUUUUUUCUUUUCUUUUUUGAACUUCUAAAUCCUAGGUAUUAAUAUACUUUGAACUUUUGUGUUAUUUUAAUCUGAACUUCACAUUUUUUAUUUUUUGAGUAAAGUUUUUGUUUUGAUUUUUAAAUAAACAUGAUUUUGACUUUUUUUUAUUUUUGAUCUUCAUGGCCGAUUCUUUAAUUCCUUUUUUUAUUUCAACUUCUUCAUUUUAUUAUUUAGUAACGAGAAAACAUCUAAGUUUUUUUAACCUUUGAACUUCUCUCUUAUUUUACUUUGAACUUCUUAGAGAAAAAUAUGGUUUUAAAUAAGCAAACAAUUUUCUAGGUUUUUACCUUUGAACUUCUAGGUUUUUUGACCUUCUCGGUUAUUUCAAAUUGAACUUCUAGGUUUAUUAAAUUUUAAACAUGGGCAAACAAGAAUUCACUACAAGCAUUUCAGAACGAUAUUUUUGUUUAUUUUUGGUCAACUUUUGUCUUGUACAAGGAUUCAGAAAUGUACCGUAUUUUUUUCAUAGUAGAUGAAGUCCUAAAUAGCAAGAGCAGGAGUGAGCGACCACAACAAAUGCUUUACAACAACAAAGGUCGAGAACAUCUAUGGCUUUUUUCUAACUUGAACGUCUCUAAUGAAAAAAAUGCUUUUUUUCUAUGACCUUCUCCGCUGGUCAUCUUUGAACUUCUAUGAAAUUAAAUUUGGUUGGAGCUGGAGACUGGUAUAUGAGGAAAGAAAGGGUACAAUUCUCAAAAAAGUAAAGAAAGGGUACGGUGCAAAAUAAACUACAUAACACUCCAAUCAUACACAAGUGCACAUACAAGAAGUACUGUACUAGUCUAGCUCACACACACAUUUCACCGAACAUGAGUCGUGCAUGUACAAAACUGUUUGUACAGAGCCAAUGUUUUGCUCUUGGAAAAAGUCCAAAACAAACCUUCAAUUUGUAGGCGAAAGCUAAAUCAAACCCCGAACUCUCAAUCCCUGAAAUCAGCACACUAAACUCUUUAAUCCCGGUCUAUUUUAAACCUUGACAGAAUAUAGCCGGGAUUUGCUGAAUUGGGCCGGCCCAGUAGCGCAGUUGCUCGCGCGCGCACUAAUCUGGUUUUUUCUUAGUUUCUUCCUUUUUCGUUUUCUUUUUUCAUUUUUGCACAUGUCUAAUUUUUCUCAGUACCCAAUGUACAUUUUUAACGCACACAUUAAAUAUUUUUGGAUAAACUUUUGAUAUUUUCAAAUAAAUUAUGUACGUUUAUAAAUUACAUGUUUUCAAAACUUUUUGAAUACAUGGUAAUAUUUUUUCAACUACAUGUUUUACAUUUUCUUAAUGACAACAAACAAUUUAUAAAACUACACAACACUCUUUUACGUGGUUCAACAUUUUAAAAUUUGCAUACACUUUUUUCAAGGACAAGCCACAUAUAUUCUGUUAAGGUUAAGACACAUUUUUUUACAUCACUCACACAUUUUUUUACAUUGUCAACGCAUUCUUUUAAAAAUGUCACAAACACAUUUUUUGGAACUCGUGAUCAUUCUUGAAAAGUUACAUUUUUUUGAAUUUAAAAACAUUUUUUUGAAUCACACAAAUAUUAUUAUACAUUGUAUAAACAUUUGGAUUGGCCCGUACAUUUUUUAAAACUUGUGAUAUUUUUUAGAUGUCACAAAAUAUUUUCAGGUAUUAGAAAAUGUUUAUGUAUCAAAACGUGUCCGCACUUUAAAAUUUUAUUCUGGUUGCAGAAAAAAUUUAUGUUUCAAAAAGUGUUUGCCCUAUAAAAUUUUGUUCAGGUUUCAAAAAAUGUUUAUGAAGGUGUUCGCUUUUCCAAAGUUGUUGGUUUUUUAAAAGUAUUCAAAAUUUUCAAAAAGUUUUCGCACUUUACAUAAUGUUCAAAGAUUUCAUAAAUAAAUACGUUAUCAAUAAUUGUUUGCCCCUAAAAAAUGUUUUCAAAGUUCGACGCUUUGGUUUCUGAUUAAAUAUUUCGGGCCUCUUCAGUGUAGUGGCUACCAGGUCCCAAGUUCGACUCCACAGCAUGUUUUUUUGGUUUGGAAUUAUUACGUCGCCCGUUAAGAAAAAGAAAGAAACAAUUUUUUACGUCGCGUGUUAAGGAAAAAAAUUGCUUCAUGUCUCGUGGGCUGGCCCAGUCGAGUCCACUGCCAACAAUCCGAAACAUUUUUAACUACAUUAUUUAUGAAAUAAUUUACGAAAUUCCAAAAACAGUAUUUAGAAAAUGUGACACAAUUUUGAAAAUACGAAAUAUUUUUCACAGCAUGUGAAAAACUGAUUUUUUUGAAAUCACGAACAGUUUUUUAAAAUUCUAAUAGAGUUGAUUUUGUGCGAAACACGAAAUUCCAAAGAGUUUUGAAAAACACAAAACGAAUUGAAUUUGUGUGAAAAAUAGAAAACAGAAACAUUUUUAACUUUCGAACAAUUUUAGAAAUGUGCGAACAUUUUUUAAACCUCAUGAAUUCUUGUUGUGUUAUAGUGGGCCGGCCCAAAUUCUAGUCUGUGAGAGUAGCUGGAAUCCCGGCCGGGAUUGUAGUCUUCCCAGCGUGCCAAACAGGUCUAGGGUCCAAAAUAGACCGGGAUUACAAGUUCAGAGUGCCAAUUUCCGGGAUUCAAAAUUCAGGGUUUGAUUUAGCUUUCGUCUAUAACUUUAAGGUUUAUUUUGGACUUUUUUCCUUUGCUCUUUUCACAGUCGGCGCCCAGGUCAACAUCAUCAUGCAAUCCUGUGCUGGCCCGCAUCAUAUAAGGAGCAAUCUUUUUUUAGUGCAGACGCAUCUGGAUUAUACACGGACAUGCCAGCCAUGUCGAGCAAUCUAGCUUGUAGAAACCUGUGCCGAGUGCCGACCAUUGUGAGCUCGCUCGCGGCAGUGGGUGCACGAGCCGCCACACGCACGAGUAGCAGCGGUGCAAGACGCAUCUUUCUGGCCGGCACACUGCGACCGACGGCACAAUCACAUGGGAUGACGCCUCCACGCGGCAGGUGGAGCUGGUCCAGUGAAAUAGCAGUUCAGGCAUCCUGGGCGGUAGCACGCGCGCUGGGAAAGUCGUGGCUCGCGGACGAAGAUGAGCGAUGGUGACGGGUAGGGAACGUUGCGAGGUGGUGCAGGCGAGAGGAGGGACUGGCAAGCUCAACGAUGGUGGAGGAGACGGGAGCGGCUGUUCCAAAGACGAGCCCUCCUCGGGAAGGUCGAGUUGGCCCUCGCGAGAAGGCCAAUUAGUCCUCGGCGGUGACAGUCAUUGACGCCAAGUUAAACAUUUCUUCUGAAAAGAUAAAAGGUCUCUUUUUUCCUCGCUUGAGCUAGCCAGGGGUAUACCAUUAAAUAUAUGUGAAUGUGUUUAUACCACACGUUUUGCACUAAUCCAUUCCUCUCGGUAGCUUCACCCGUGUUGUAGUGUCUGGACACCAAAGCUAGCCGCACCGGGAGACGUUGGGUAUAAAUGCUUCUAUACAAGGUUGUGCUUGUUUUUACACCACACCUUUUGGUCCUUGUCUCUACAUCUUAUCUUCUUGAAGUACCCACAACCACACGUUUUAUUCUUUGUUCUCUGUACUCUCCCCUCCAUGUAACUUUGUCUCAUGGCGUACUAGUUAAGAGAAGACCAUUUUCACUUCGGGUUUAGGCGCCCGGCCGACCACGUUCAGACCAACUCGGGAGGAUUUGGUGACAUGAGCAUGUGCAGCGUGGUCCUCGGCCUUGUACAUCCUGCACUCCAUCAGGCGGUGGCCUGCAUCCCUAUCGGAGAAAGCCGAAUCUCUCGACCUGCUACUUCUUUAGAGUUCGACCUGCUUUUUCUUCAGAGUCCGACCUGCUACUUCGUCAUGCAAGAUGGAGCACGACAUGCUUGGCUUGAUGGGAAACCUUGCUGAGGAAAUAGCUGCCCGUGAAUGCAGCCAAUCCUGAUAUAAGUAUCUAGGGAGAACAUGAGCUCUCUCAGAGCUUAGCCACUGUCGGCCAUUGGAUCGAGUCUCUUGAUGCGUUUUUGGACGUUGGAUCGAGCGGUGGAAGUCGCUGGGCCGUUGGAUCAAAAAAAGUUACUGCUACAAUGAAUAGUUACCGUCUCGUUCGUGCCACCGUGCGUAAUUACGCUGCCCCGUCGGGGGCAUUUUCGUCAUUUCACGCUUACGCGUAUAAAUUGCGUCCGCUCCAGGAGAUGACCUAGCCGCCUCUCCCCCCGCACUCUGCGCUCCCAUCCCUCGCUCCUCCCGCCGCUCCCUCUCCUCUUCCUCCCGCCCCGCCUCUCUCUCUCCGUCCAAACCCUCCCUAACCCACGUCCGCCUCCCUGCCCCGCCACCAGCCGCAGCCACCGCCGCCGCCGCUCGCCGCGUCUCCCUCCAAACGCUCGCUGCGCCCGCCUCCUUGCCCCACGCCGCCGUCAUCUCCGCCGACGCCCGCCUCCUCCGCCGCCUCCUCUCCACCGCCGCUGAGGUGGCACGGGAGGUGGCGCCCCCCGCGUCGUGGGCGUUGGUGCAGCCGCAGGUGGGGGCGGCGGCGUGGACGGAAUUGGGGCAGGGGCGUUCUUCGUGGCCGCAUCAGGCGUGGGCGCUGCCACAGGCGGAGCAGCAACAACAGUGAGGCUGUACACAGCGGAAGGGGAACAGGCGGGGUACACGACCAAGUGGGAGGAGCUCCGUCCGGUUUCGCAGCACCUUCUCCUGCAAAUCGAGUAUGUUCCUGGUCAUAUCACAUAUCUUGCCCGUCUUUCUUGUCGAAUUUGGUACUCGUGGUUUAUUAUUGGCUUCCGCCACUGUGACAUGCUAGGGUUUCAAAAACAUCUCGUGGUGGUGGAUUCUGCAGGUAUUGUGGGGAUCAGAGGAGUUAUCUCUUUGUUCAAUUUGUGUAUUUAAUUGCGUCUCCUUUGAUUGGUUUGGUGCUUUGCCUGGUGUUCAGAAUGAUUUGCCUCAUUGCUCUCUGACCAUCACCUGGUUCAUCUGUGAUUUGGCAGGGAGAAGAUAAGGGAUGAGAGGCAUGUGUGUGAGCAAGUGGAACAAUAACUGGAUGCUCGUCAGAUUACCCAGGUUUGGUUUUACUCUCAGGGUGCUUUGUUCUUUAAUUUGCAGAACAUGUUUGAACAACGUUUCAGCCUUCACGGAUUAGUGUAGUAGCCUAACCAUUGCAGAAAAGAGGAAGAAAGUUAAACUGAACCUAAAUUCAGAUAUAUUUUGAUGAACGUCUAGUUAUCUGCUUGAAGAACAAAGGGUGCUUAAUACUGGUUUGGUUUAUUCUGUGAGCAGGUGGAACAAUUCAGGAUAAAACUGAACCUAAAUUCAGAUAUAUUUUGAACUAAUCAUAUAUUAGUUCCAAUUAGAUUAUAUGAGCAUAUCAGACUAGAUGGUCUCCUAGACCUUUAGAAGUUGAUAUUCUCUAUUUUUGGCCACAUCAUUUUUGUAAAAAUAGUAGAGUCGCUAACACAUCUGCACAACAUAUGGCUUAUUACAUAUAUAUGCUUGGUCUUCUGUUCUGCACAGCGAAACCAUGGGUUUUUUAUUCUAAGAAAAUGAUGUAUAUUGGUGUUGUAUCCACAAGAUCUAUGUAAGUUAGAAAUUUAGAAGUAAUCCAUGGAAAUACAAGCAUUAUUUUUUUUCGUGGUAUGAUGAAAAAGUUCACCUAGGUCCACUUGCUUUUAUUUGUUGUUCUUGUUCCGAUAAUGUUUGAUUUAUAGUUUCAAUUUCAUCAGCACAAAUAGACUCAAUGGUGUAAUGAUUCAGUUUCACAUAUAUUUUGCCAGUAUGGUAUUUAUGAAUUUUUUUUCCAUGAUCCAUGAUCCAGGAUAUCAGAUUUAUGAGCUUCUGUUACUUGAUGCAAUUUCAAAAAGUGUCGGUAAGGUAAAAAUGAUCUAGAAGCUUAUUGCAUUCGAAAGUAGUUAUUGCAAGAAGAAGCAUGAGACACUAGCAGGUAUAUAAUGUCUAUUCUGCUUUCUAUUUGUUUUUUAGGUUCAGAUUACAAAUUCUUGCAUGAUGUAGAAGUUUCAACCGAAUGGUGCACCCUCAAAAUUGUGUUUUGUUAUGCACGAUGCAAGCUUCAGCAGCACCACACCUAGAUUUUGAAUGGCUCAUAGCAGACUAUAUAUGGCUAACCUAUUGUAUGGCAUUCUUAUUUUUUGUCUAUAUGCAUUACUUCUAGAUUUACUUCUAUUGUUGCGCCAUCACAUGGAUCAAACACACUAAAAUAUGAUGUUGAUCUUGCACAAAAGGAAGAACGGUGGUGUCACAUAAGCAUGGCUCGACCUAGCCUUGAUCAUGGUAGCCUCUUAGGUGUUCCUACUUGCUACUAUCCAUGCUACCUGAAAACCCAGCUUAUUUCACCACCAGCUCCAAAGCAACGACAGAAUGUAGGCAUCACCGUAUAUAAUUUUAUUGCAUAUUGCUCAACUCCUCCUCUAUGAAUUUGCUUACAAGCGUGUGUGACUACACUUGCUAUGCACAUGUACUAUAGACAAGUCGGCAGGACCUCACAUCACAACACCUAAGCGAGUCUGGCAAGGCUUGCUCGCCAUGGCCUACCGCGUCGGCGAGACGGGGCGAGCACGUGAUCACCAUCAACAGGUCCUUUGUCACAACACCCUAGCAAGCGAGAUGUUUAGACAAAGAUAUAUGAUAUAGUACUAUCAACAUAUGUCAUAGACGAACAGUAUAUAUCCUUCUCUUCACAAGCACAAGACUUGAUUUUGAUAAAUUGUGUUACCAUUUCUGCGGCAUCAACAUUUGGGAGGACACACCAUCUGAAUCCUCUAUAAUAACUGAACCAUUACUAUUACAAGCAACCUCCUACAUCUUCCUUCCAAAAAUUCAGAUGAUGGUUUAGUUGUUUAUAUACAUGUGCCAUCUCUUAUGUCUGAAAUAUAUAUUCUACUACCGGGCUGGCUGGCACCUGGCAGGCUGCACUUCCUAUCUACUUGUGACGCCCCAUCAUGUUGGUUUACAUUUGGAGCAAAAAUGCUGCUGAGCAUUUGGUGUGACUGAUUGCACUAUCCAUUUAGUGUUGUCUGGACAUAGCUAUGUAGUGGACACAAUUAUUUAGAAAAAUGUCAAACCUUAACAUUUACAGGAAGCUUUACAUAUGUUUGGAUUAUGGGUCCGCUGUAGGUUUGCAUAGAUAAAUAAAUAGCACUCUUGCUAUCAAAGUGUGUGUUUCAUGGGCCUUUCUUUGUUUGAGGGACAUAACUCAAUUUUUGUAUCAGCCAUACUUCUGCUAUAUAUAUGGAAACAAUCAGUGUCUAUUUCUAUUUUAUCUGAACUGAGACAAAAUUUACUAUAUGUAAACAAUCAUUGGUUCUUUCUUUUUUAUCUAAACUGAGAAAUAACUCUAAUCAAUUGUUUUUUUAUUUAAUGUCUAAGUAUCUUCCUUACCCAAAACUUGUGCCAAAACUGGUAUUUCUUUCAUGUGUGCCUUGUGCCAUAUAUUAUCCAACCCCCUCUACUUCUGUACAGUUUUUUGUGGCGAAAGAUUACUGGCACCAUGUGAAUCUUAAGCUCCACCAUUUCCUAAUUUUUCUCUCAUGGUCGCCCUCUAGGUUUCCUGGCAAGGCGAUGGUGUAUGAACCCUGUGCGCCUGCCUAGCUGUAUUGCGGCUCGAGGAUGCGGCGGAGGUGGCACAUGAGCAGAUGAAAGAGGAAUAAUUGAAGCCCCAAUGCCUCCCACAUUCUUGCUCCCUGAUAAUGGAAGUACUAGGUUUCAAACUCCUUCCCCUUCCCUGAUAUUUACAAUUCCUUUUCGGUUAGCCAUCACCGAUGUUGACUGUUGACUGAAAUAUUUAGUUCUGUUGCUGGACACCUAAUAUCUGCACACUGUGUGUCCGCCAGCUGAGCGGCAAGCCGGAGCUGCAAGUCGCUGAACAUGGUCGUGCUACUGUGAGGAUCUCAUGUCUCUCACUCUGUAUCUCUCAUCAGCCCAUUCCACUUUGUGUAUGGUCAAGGCAGUCAAUUCUUUGUUGUUGAGGCUUAUCUGUUAUUUCAGGGCAACUCACUUGGGCAUGUAGUGGGGAUGGCUUAUGUUCAAGCACCUAAUGGAAUGUAUGCUUUUCCUUGAUGCUCCGUUCCUAAGAAAUUGCAUGAAGCUGGUGUCUGGUGAGCAAUCUGGCCUUGACCAUAGAGCCUUUCUUUUCUUCCGCAGUUCAUGCUUUAUUGUUGGAAAUAUGCCCUAGAGGCAAUAAUAAAUGGUUAUUAUUGUAUUUUCUUGUUCAUGAUAAUUGUCUAUUGUUCAUGCUAUAAUUGUAUUGACUGGAAACCGUAAUGCAUGUGUGAAUACAUAGACCACAACAUGUCCCUAGUGAGCCUCUAGUUGACUAGCUCGUUGAUCAAUAGAUGGUUAUGGUUUUCUGACCAUGGACAUUGGAUGUCAUUGAUAACGGGAUCACAUCAUUAGGAGAAUGAUGUGAUGGACAAGACCCAAUCCUAAGCAUAGCACAAGAUCGUGUAGUUCGUUUGCUAAGAGCUUUUCUAAUGUCAAGUAUCAUUUCCUUAGACCAUGAGAUUGUGCAACUCCGGAUACCGUAGGAAUGCUUUGGGUGUACCAAACGUCACAACGUAACUGGGUGGCUAUAAAGGUACACUACAGGUAUCUCCAAAAGUGUCUGUUGGGUUGGCACGAAUCGAGACUGGGAUUUGUCACUCCGUAUGACGAAGAGGUAUCUCUGGGCCCACCCGGUAAUGCAUCAUCAUAAUGAGCUCAAUGUGACCAAGUAGUUAGUCACGGGAUCAUGCAUUACGGAACGAGUAAAGAGACUUGCCGGUAACGAGAUUGAACGAGGUAUUGGGAUACCAACGAUCGAAUCUCGGACAAGUAACAUACCGAUAGACAAAGGGAAUUGUAUACGGGAUUGAUUGAAUCCCCGACAUCGUGGUUCAUCCGAUGAGAUUAUCGUGGAACAUGUGGGAGCCAAUAUGGGUAUCCAGAUCCCGCUAUUGGUUAUUGGCCGGAGAGGUGUCUCGGUCAUGUCUGCAUGGUUCCCGAACCCGUAGGGUCUACACACUUAAGGUUCGGUGACGCUAGAGUUGUUAUGGUAAAUAGUAUGUGGUUACCGAAGGUUGUUCGGAGUCCCGGAUGAGAUCCCGGACACGACGAGGAGCUCCGGAAUGGUCCGGAGGUGAAGAUCGGUAUAUUGGACGAAGGGUAUUGGAGUCCGAAAUUGUUCCGGGGGUACCAGACUAUGGCCAACAUGUCCGAAAGGGGUUUCGGAGGCCCCGGCAAGCGUUGGGGGCCUUAUGGGCCAAGGGGAAGGGGCAAACCAGCCCAUUAAGGGGCUGUGCGCCCUCCCAACCCCUCUCACGUAACCAAGAGAGGUGGGGGCGCCACCCCUAGGGCAGCCGCCCCUCCCGGCUUGGGGGGCAAGUUUCCUAGGGGGUGGGGGCGCCCAAACCCAUCUAGGGUUUCCCCUGGCCGCCGCCUCCUCCUCUAGAUCCAUCUAGAGGGGCCGGCCCCCUCUCCCCUUCCCCCUAUAUAUAGUGAGGGGGUGGGAGGGCAGCCACACCCCUUGCCUGGCGCAGCCCUCUCCUCCUCCAACUCCUCCUCCUCCGUAGUGCUUAGCGAAGCUCUGCCGGAGAACCACGAGCUCCAUCGCCACCACGCCGUCGUGCUGCUGAAGUUCUCCCUCAACUUCUCCUCUCCCCUUGCUGGAUCAAGGAGGAUAUGUCCCGGGCUGUACGUGUGUUGAACGCAGAGGCGCCGUCCGUUCGGCGCUAGAUCGGAUCUUCCGCGAUUUGAAUCGCCACGAGUAUGACUCCAUCAACCGCGUUCUUGUAACGCUUCCGCUUAGCGAUCUUCAAGGGUAUGAAGAGGCACUCCCUCUCUCUCGUUGCUAGCAUCUCCCAGAUUGAUCUUGGUGACAUGUAGAAUUUUUUGAAUUAUUGCUACGUUCCCCAACAGUGGUAUCAGAGCUAGGUCUAUGCGUAGAUUCUAUGCACGAGUAGAACACAAAGUAGUUGUGGGCGAUGAUUUGUUCAAUUUGCUUGCCGUUACUAGUCUUAUCUUGAUUCGGCGGCAUUGUGGGAUGAAGCGGCCCGGACCGACCUUACACGUACACUUACGUGAGACAGGUUCCACCGACUGACAUGCACUUGAUGCAUAAGGUGGCUAGCGGGUGUCUGUCUCUCCCACUUUAGUCGGAUCGGAUUCGAUGAAAAGGGUCUUUAUGAAGGGUAAAUAGCAAUUGGCAUAUCACCGUUGUGGCUUUUGCAUAGGUAAGAAACGUUUUGCUAGAAACCCAUAGCAGCCACGUAAAACAUGCAACAACAAUUAGAGGACGUCUAACUUGUUUUUGCUGGGUAUGCUAUGUGAUGUGAUAUGGCCAAAAGGAUGUGACGAAUUAUAUAUAUGUGAUGUAUGAGAUUGAUCAUGUUCUUGUAAUAGGAAUCACGACUUGCAUGUCGAUGAGUAGGACAACCGGCAGGAGCCAUAGGAGUUGUCUUAAUUUAUUGUAUGACCUGCGUGUCAAUGAAAAACGCCAUGUAAUUACUUUACUUUAUUGCUAACCGUUAGCCAUAGUAGUAGAAGUAAUAGUUGGCGAGACAACUUCAUGAAGACACGAUGAUGGAGAUCAUGGUGUCAUGUCGGUGAUGAAGGUGAUCAUGCCGCGCCUCGAAGAUGGAGAUCAAAAGGCGCAAGAUGAUAUUGGCCAUAUCAUGUCACUUUAUGAUUUGCAUGUGAUGUUUGUCAUGUUUACAUCUUAUUUGCUUAGAACGACGGUAGCAUAAAUAAGAUGAUUCCUCGCAAUAAUUUCAAGGAAGUGUUCCCCCUAACUGUGCACCGUUGCGAAGGUUCGUUGUUUCGAAGCACCACGUGAUGAUCGGGUGUGAUAGAUUCUAACGUUCGCAUACAACGGGUGUAAGCCAGAUUUACACAUGCGAAACACUUAGGUUGAUUUGACGAGCCUAGCAUGUACAGACAUGGCCUCAGAACACGAGAGACCGAAAGGUCGAACAUGAGUCGUAUAGCAGAUACGAUCAACAUGAAGAUGUUCACCGAUGAUGACUAGUCCGUCUCACGUGAUGAUCGGACACAGCCUAGUUGACUCGGAUCAUGUAUCACUUAGAUGACUAGAGGGAUGUCUAUUUGAGUGGGAGUUCAUUAAAUAAUCAGAUGAACUUAAUUAUCAUGAACAUAGUCAAAAGGUCUUUGCAAAUUAUGUCAUAGCUUACGCUUUAGUUCUACUAUUUAAGAUAUGUUCCUAGAGAAAAUUUAGUUGAAAGUUGAUAGUAGAAAUUAUGCGGACUGGGUCCGUAAACUGAGGAUUAUCCUCAUUGCUACGCAGAAGGCUUAUGUCCUUAAUGCACCGCUCGGUGUGCUGAACCUCGAGCGUCGUCUGUGGAUGUUGUGAACUUCUGACAUACACGUUUUCAUGACUACGUGAUAGUUCAGUGCGUAAUGCUAACGGUUUAGAAUUGAGGCGCCAAAGACGUUUUUGAAACGUCGCAGAACAUAUGAGAUGUUCCAAAGACUGAAAUUGGGAUUUCAGACUAGUGCCCACGUCAAGAGGUAUGAGACCUCUGACAAGUUUCUUAAGCCUGCAAACUAAGGGAGAAAAGCUCAAUCGUUGAGCAUGUGCUUGGAUUGUCUGAGUACUACAAUCGCUUGAAUCGAGUGGGAGUUAAUCUUCCAGAUGAGAUAGUGAUGGUUCUCCAUAGUCACUACCACCAAGCUAUUAGAGCUUCGUGAUGAACUAUAACAUAUCAGGGAUAGACAUGAUGAUCCUUGAGCAAUUCGUGAUGUUUGACACCGCGAAAGUAGAAAUCAAGUAGGAGCCUCAAUUGUUGAUGGUUAGUAAAACCACUAGUUUCAAGAAGGGCAAGGGAAAGUAGGGAUACUUCAUGAAACGGCAAAUCAGUUGCAGCUCUAGUGAAGAAACCCAAGGUUGAACCCAAACCCGAGACUAAGUGCUUCUGUAAUGAGGGGAACGGUCACUAAAGCAGAACUACCCUAGAUACUUUGUAGAUGAGAAGGCUGGCAAGGUCAACAGAAGUAUUUUGGAUAUACGUUAUAUUAAUGUGUACUUUACUAGUACUCCUAGUAGCACCAGGGUAAUAAAUACCGGUUCGGUUGCUAAGUGUUAGUAACUCGAAAUAAAAGGCUACGGAAACUAGCUAAAGGUGAUAUGACGAUAAGUGUUGGAAGUGUUUCCAAAGUUGAUGUGAUCAAACAUCGCACGCUCCCUCUACCAUCGAGAUUGGUGUUAAACCUAAAUAAUUGUUAUUUGGUGUUUGCGUUGAGCAUAGACAUGAUUGGAUUAUGUUUAUCGCAAUACGGUUAUUCAUUUAAGGAGAAUAAUGGUUACUCUUUUUAUUUGAAUAAUACCUUCAAUGGUCUUGCACCUAAAAUGAAUGGUUUAUUGAAUCUCGAUCGUAGUGAUACACAUGUUCAUGCCAAAAGAUAUAAGAUAGUAAUGAUAGUACCACAUACUUGUGGCACUGCUAUUUGAGUCAUAUUGGGAUAAAACGCAUGAAGAAGCUCCAUGUUGAUGGAUCUUUGGACUCACUCAUUUUUGAAAAGAUUGAGACAUGCGAACCAUGUCUAUUGGUAUAUAUGCAUGAAGAAACUCCAUGCAGUUGAAUCAUUUGGACUCACUUGAUUUUGAAUCACUUGAGACAUGGAAAUCAUACCACAUGGGCAAGAUGACUGAAAGGCCUCGUUUUCAGUGAGAUGGAACAAGAGAGCAACUUGUUGGAAGUAAUACAUUUUGAUGUGUGCAGUCCAAUGAGUGCUGAGGCACGCAGUGGAUAUCGUUAUGUUCUUACUUUACAGAUGAUUUGAGUAGAUGCUAAGUAUAUUUACUUGAUGAAACACAAGUCUGAAUUAUUGAAAGGUUCAAGUAAUUUCAGAGUGAAGUUGAAAAUCGUCGUGACAAGAGGAUAAAAUGUCUAUGAUAUGAUCAUAGAGAUGAAUAUCUGAGUUACGAGUUUGGCACACAAUUAAGACAUUGUGGAAAUUGUUUCACGACUAAUACCGCCUGGAACACCAUAGUGUGAUGGUGUGUCCGAACAUCAUAAUUGCACCCUAUUGGAUAUAGUGCAUACCAUGAUGUCUCUUAUCGAAUUACCACUAUCGUCUAUGGGUUAGGCAUUAGAGACAAUCGCAUUCACUUUAAAUAGGGCACCACGCAAUUCCGUUGAGACGACACCGUAUGAACUAUGGUUUAGAGAAACCUAAGCUGUCCUUUCUUAAGAGUUUGGGGCUGCGAUGCUUAUGUGAAAAAGUUUCAGGCUGAUAAGCUCGAACCCAAAGCGGAUAAAUGCAUCUUCAUAGGACACCCAAAAACAGUUGGGUAUGCCUCCUAUCUCAGAUCUGGAAGCAAAAGGGAUUGUUUCUAGAAUCGGGUCCUUUCUCGAGGAAAAGUUUCUCUCGAAAGAAUUGAGUGGGAGGAUGGUGGAGAUUUGAUGAGGUUAUUGAACCGUCACUUCAACUAGUGUGUAGCAGGGCACGGGAAGUUGUUCCUGUGGCACCUACACCAAUUGAAGUGGAAGCUUAUGAUAGUGAUCAUGAAACUUCGGAUCAAGUCACUACCAAACCUCGUAGGUCGACAAGGAUGCGUACUACUUCAAAGUGGUACAUAAUCCUGUCUUGGAAGUCAUGUUGCUGGACAACAACGAACCUACGAGCUAUGGAGAAGCGAUGGUGGGCCCGGAUUCCGACGAAUGGCUCGAGGCCAUAAAAUCCGAGAGAGGAUCCAUGUAUAAAAACAAAGUAUAGACUUUGGAAGAACUACUUGAUGGUCGUAAGGCUGUUGGGUGCAGAUGGAUUUUAAAAGGAAGACAAACAAUGAUGGUAAGUGUCACCAUUAAGAAAGCUUGACUUGUCGUUAAGAUGUUUUCUGACAAGUUCAAGGAAUUGACUGCGAUGAGACUUUCUCACUCGUAGCGAUGCUAAGAGUCUGUUGAAAUUAUAUUAGCAGUUACCGCAUUAUUUAUGAAAUCUUGCGGAUAGGAUGUCAAAACAUUGUUUCCUCGACGAUUUUCUUAAGGAAAGGUUGUAUGUGAUACAACCAGAAGGUUUUGUCAAUCCUGAAAGAUGCUAACAAGUAUGCAAAGCUCCAGCAAUCCUUCUAAGGACUGGAGUAAGCAUCUCGGAGUUGGAAUGUACGCUUUGAUGAGAUGAUCAAAGAUUUUGGGUUUAUACAAAGUUUAUGAGAAACUUGUAUUUCUAAAGAAGUGAGUGGGAGCACUAUAGAAUUUUUGAUGAGUAUAUGUUGUUGACAUAUUGUUGAUCAGAAAUGAUGUAGAAUUUCUGGAAAGCAUACAGGGUUAUUUGAAAAGUGUUUUUCAAUGGAAAACCUGGAUUAACCUACUUAAACAUUGAGCAUCAAGAUCUAUAAGGAUAGAUCAAAAACGCUUAAUAGUACUUUCAAAUGAAUACAUACCGUGACAAGAUUUUGAAGGAGUUCAAAAUAGAUCACCAAAGAAGGAGUUCUUGGCUGUGUUACAAGGUGUGAGUAUUGAGUAAGACUCAAGACCUGACCACGGCAGAAGAGAGAGAAAGGAUGAAGGUCGUCCCCUAUGCUUUAGACGUAGGCUCUACAGUAUGCUAUGCUGUGUACCGCACCUGAAGUGUGCCUUGCCAUGAGUUAGUCAAGGGGUACAAAUAGUGAUACAGGAAUGGAUCACAUGACAGCGGUCGAACUUAUCCUUAAUAUCUAGUGGACUAAGGAAUUUUCUCGAUUAUGGAGGUGGAAAAGGAGUUCGUCGUAAAGGGUUACGUCGAUACAAACUUUGACACUAAUCCGGAUGACUCUGAGUAGUAAACCGGAUUCGUAUAGUAGAGCAGUUAUUUGGAAUAGCUCCAAGUAGCGUGGUAGCUGCAUCUACAAGAUGACAUAGAGAUUUGUGAAGCACACACGGAUCUGAAUGUUGCAGACCCGUUGACUAAAACCUCUCUCGUAAGCAUAACAUGAUCAAACCCUAGAACUCAUCGAGUGUUAAUCACAUGGUGAUGUGAACUAGAUUAUUGACUCUAGUAAACUCUUGGGUAUUAGUCAAAUGGCGAUGUGAACUUUGAGUGUUAAUCACAUGGUCAUGUGAACUAGAUUAUUGACUCUAGUGCAAGUGGGAGACUGUUGGAAAUAUGCCCUAGAGGCAAUAAUAAAUGGUUAUUAUUGUAUUUCCUUGUUCAUGAUAAUUGUCUAUUGUUCAUGCUAUAAUUGUAUUGACUGGAAACCGUAAUGCAUGUGUGAAUACAGAGACCACAACAUGUCCCUAGUGAGCCUCUAGUUGACUAGCUCGUUGAUCAAUAGAUGGUUAUGGUUUCCUGACCAUGGACAUUGGAUGUCAUUGAUAACGGGAUCACAUCAUUAGGAGAAUGAUGUGAUGGACAAGACCCAAUCCUAAGCAUAGCACAAGAUCGUGUAGUUCGUUUACUAAGAGCUUUUCUAAUGUCAAGUAUCAUUUCCUUAGACCAUGAGAUUGUGCAACUCCGGAUACCGUAGGAAUGCUUUGGGUGUACCAAACGUCACAACGUAACUGGGUGGCUAUAAAGGUACACUACAGGUAUCUCCGAAAGUGUCUGUUGGGUUGGCACGAAUCGAGACUGGGAUUUGUCACUCCGUAUGACGAAGAGGUAUCUCUGGGCCCACCCGGUAAUGCAUCAUCAUAAUGAGCUCAAUGUGACCAAGUAGUUAGUCACGGCAUCAUGCAUUACAGAACGAGUAAAGAGACUUGCCGGUAACGAGAUUGAACGAGGUAUUGGGAUACCAACGAUCGAAUCUCGGGCAAGUAACAUACCGAUAGACAAAGGGAAUUGUAUACGGGAUUGAUUGAAUUCCCGACAUCGUGGUUCAUCCGAUGAGAUCAUCGUGGAACAUGUGGGAGCCAAUAUGGGUAUCCAGAUCUCGCUAUUGGUUAUUGGCCGGAGAGGUGUCUCGGUCAUGUCUGCAUGGUUCCCGAACCCGUAGGGUCUACACACUUAAGGUUCGGUGACGCUAGAGUUGUUAUGGUAAAUAGUAUGUGGUUACCGAAGGUUGUUCGGAGUCCCGGAUGAGAUCCCGGACAUGACGAGGAGCUCCGGAAUGGUCCGAAGGUGAAGAUCGGUAUAUUGGACGAAGGGUAUUGGAGUCCGGAAUUGUCCCGGGGGUACCAGACUAUGGCCAACAUGUCCGAAAGGGGUUUCGGAGGCCCCGGCAAGCGUUGGGGGCCUUAUGGGCCAAGGGGAAGGGGCAAACCAGCCCACUAAGGGGCUGUGCGCCCCUCCCAACCCCUCUCACGUAACCAGGAGAGGUGGGGGCGCCACCCCUAGGGCAGCCGCCCCUCCCGGCUUGGGGGGCAAGUUUCCUAGGGGGUGGGGGCGCCCAAACCCAUCUAGGGUUUCCCCUGGCCGCCGCCUCCUCCUCUAGAUCCAUCUAGAGGGGCCGGCCCCCUCUCCCCUUCCCCCUAUAUAUAGUGAGGGGGUGGGAGGGCAGCCACACCCCUUGCCUGGCGCAGCCCUCUCCUCCUCCAACUCCUCCUCCUCCUCCGUAGUGCUUAGCGAAGCUCUGCCGGAGAACCACGAGCUCCAUCGCCACCACGCCGUCGUGCUGCUGGAGUUCUCCCUCAACUUCUCCUCUCCCUUUGCUGGAUCAAGAAGGAAGAGAUGUCCCCGGGCUGUACGUGCGUUGAACGCGGAGGCGCCGUCCGUUCGGCGCUAGAUCGGAUCUUCCGCGAUUUGAAUCGCCACGAGUACGACUCCAUCAACCGCGUUCUUGUAACGCUUCCGCUUAACGAUCUUCAAGGGUAUGAAGAUGCACUCCCUCUCUCUCGUUGCUAGCAUCUCCUAGAUUGAUCUUGGUGACAUGUAGAAUUUUUUUGAAUUAUGGCUACGUUCCCCAACAUUUAUAGAAGUGUCUACAUGCAUUUUCUAACUUGUGUUGCACCUACUUUCUACGAAAUUCUCAUGCAUUGUCUCGAUAGCGAGCUAUUUAGCCAAAUGAGGUAUUCAACUGGACUACACAUUUAGAUUCUUAGAUGAGCUAGACAGUGCCUGCAUUGUCUAGACAGCUACCUAGCAAAAUGAGUUAUUCGACCGAACAGUUUUGUUCGGAUGAUUGUCUUGGUGUUAGUAACCUAUGUAUUCAGAUUCCUACAUGAGCUUGAUAGAAAUUCGAAUAUGUAGGUGCAGUCUCACACAAAGAAAGAGAAAAGAUUCAGUGUCAACGACUCAUGAAUGGAAAUAAAAACACCAGCGGGAAUCAUUUACUGUUUUCCCUACCUUAGAGUAUAAUUAUAUGAUCGCUUCACGGUUCUUUCCCUGAAGAUGUUUGGUAUAUGCUCAUCUUGUGCAUUUUUACCCUUUAGCUAAUUGCCCCCCCCCCCUUUUUUCCUUUUUCACUGUUCUCCUGUGUUGAAAGAGCUUCUAAUGUUCUUGCAGUCAGGGGCAAAAAAACUCACAAAAAUAUGAGCCCAAUGACCAUGAUCCGCUUGCAGCAAAUCUGGCUAAUUCGCUCUCUAUUGGGAAUAUUCCUCUUGGCAUGUUGGUUAUCCCUUUGCACUGAACUGCAUUAUUGAAUCGAAAGGUAGCUAUAUCAUGGGAGUGUAAAAUUUCAUAUUUAUUCACAGGGUUGUGGAUUAUUGUUAUUUAUUGUGAUUUAGAAAGUUUAAUUUUAGUGACAUUUGGUUUUAAUGAGUUCGACAAUAACCCGCAUAUGCUGUUAAUCAGAAGUUAUAUUACACAGUUUCAUCUUCGCUAUUGUCGCGGCAUAGUGUGACAGAAGUUACUCCAGUUGUAUGUAUGUAUCAUCCUUUUCCUACUCAAGUAUCGAGUGGCUGAUAUGUUGCUCUCACCUACAUCUUCUCUUGCAGGCACCUUUUUUUUAGCUGCAAUAUUCAUUUGGAUCUCUCAGCAACAUAUCUUUUCUACUUAAUACUCUACAUGCAUAAUGUUACUGACUUGUUUCCAGUCUAUCUGAAUUUUGUAUAGCUUUUAGAGUGCCUAUUCUCAUGAGCUAAUUCUGAUAUUUUUUGUAGAGCUUCCAUAUUAUCAUUAGGAAGAAUAAGGCUGUCAAGUAUAGCUUUUAGAGUGCCUAUUCUCAUUAGGAAGCAUUAGCUUUGUCUCAGAAGUUCUCUGUAAUGAUCAGCUAUUAGCUAUCAUCGAUGUUUCCAGAGAAUUGUUUCCAAUUGUCUGUCAUCUCAAAUUCUCAAUUGUAUUUAUGAGCAGAUAAAACAUCUACUGUAACACUUGCUGGUAUGAAUUACUUGGCUAUAUUUACGUAACUUGUAC
rnacentral:lncRNA from 1 species